AACAAAUAAAAAUACCAUUGAUAAUUAGGUUACGCUAGAUAAUGAUUUUAGGAAGUGUUUUUAAUCUUUCUAAUACUUGAAAAAUAACAACAGUGGUUUUAGGAAACGUUUCUAGCUUUUUUGGUGGACAAUUGCAAAUUAAAAAAUAAAUAUGUAAAUGGUACCAAUUUUUCUAAAAGCUUUAUUGCAGACUGCUUUAUUGCAGUAAUAUGCCCAAAGUCCACACCAGAAGAGUUACAACCAGACCCUCUUAUUAUACCAUGUUUGUUACAAUGAGGGAAUUGAACAUCAUGAAUCGUCAUUCAAGCAAGGAAAUCAAAGGUUGACAGCUUAUUCUGUUUCUAUAUUUCCCCACUAGAAUCGUGCUUGAAGGUAUUCAACCACCCUCUUGUCCAACUGGAAGGCCCUUGCCAGGAAAUCAGGAUUGAUGGGUGGAUUUGAUCCAAACAUUGAACUGGCUAUGGUGACUAUACCUGGAUUUUGGCUGUUAAAAGCGGCAAUGGCUACUGCAUUAGUGUGCCCAAUGUUGACUUGGAAGUGAAUGAGACUGAAAGGGAACACAAAAACAUCCCCCUUGUUCAGGACUUUGCUAACGAAGCGGUGUUCAGGGUUGGAUGUGAUAAAGCCAACAAAGAGUGUUCCCUCCAAGACAACGAGGAUCUCACUGGCACGAGGGUGAAAGUGAGGAGGGUUUUGACCAUUAGGUUCAUAAUCGAUACGAGCCACUGACACCCCAAGAGCGUUUUCUCCUGGUAAUUGAUCAACAUUUAUAAGAUUGACAAUUGAGCCCACAUAAUUUGAUGUGUUUCCUGGAAUAUUCAGCCCUUGAUACAAGAAAUCCUCGGCCACGGUCAGGUUUGGGUUCUUGCAGAACUUCCCAUUUACAAAUACUGCAUGAAGAAGGAAAAAAGAAAAGAUAUAUCAUUAGUAUCGAACCAUACUCACCAUAUCAAUAAAAAGAGAAGUACUGAAAAUAGCUAUAAGAUCAUUGGUUACUAUAGAAAUACCAGCAUUCUUGGGCUCAUCAACGGCAACACAGGUGUCUUCCAGUGGGCUUGGAUCAUAGGCAGAGGCAAGAAAGGAAGCCAAUGCCAUGAAGGCCACGGUUACCAGGAAACUAACGCUUUUCUUCAUUGUUAGAGUACUGUCUCCAACAAUCACAAUAUUUAUCUUUAGGCGGGGAUAAGAAAUUUAGCAUGGAAAAGAUGUUAAUUUAUAGACCAGAGUCGGUGAGUUAGUCUUUGCAUAAACUCACCAAGUCUUCAAUGGGAAGUUUUUUCUUCUUUCUUUUUUCACUUUCGAGGACAAGCGGUUGCACCAAUACAUGUUGAUUUACGUAGGAUUAGUCAGUAUACAGAUCUUAACCAGAAUAUAAAGCAAUGUACAAUCAGGUGGAGGCAGGUCCAAUUUAAUAUCAAUCUGUAUGAUCCAUACGUUUACAUAUAUAGUAGAGCUUUCUGCUCUUUUAGUAGUGUAUGGACAAGCAAAUAGAAGAUUACAGAGUAGGUGCCAGCUUGGACUAUACAAUGACCCACCCCUAUCAAACAUGGUUACUCCAUGAGACUUGUGUAGGUUCAGUUUAAUGAGUAUUUAUAUAGCUUAAUUCACCAUUCGAAGUGUUGAGAGAUUGGCUGAUGAGAUUGAAUAUGUAGCCAAGUUCUGAGUUUCUAGCUCAUGUGCCUUCCACUGAGUGAAAAGUCCUUGGAUAAGCUCUGGGGUUGCCUCAGUUCAAUGAAAAAUUGGGAUAAAUUCAAAGACUUUCUGCUAUAUGCUCACUAGGCUUUCCUCAGUUACAAAAGCUUUGACUAUGAUUUUUAUGCUUGCAGCCUUCCCUGUCUGAGCGGUUGGCUCAAAAGUUACUACUACAAUUAUUAUGGUUUGUGAGAGAAAGAGAUCUUAACAAACACCUUUAAACUAAGACUUUUUAAUUAGUCGUCUUUAACAAGCAAGUCUGUAUUUUCUGGUGAGAAGCAAGAAACCUUACAUUAGCAAAAUACCAAUUAAUUAGAUGAAGUCCUUCGGCUAAUCUAUGCCCUAUAAGUAAGGUAAUUAAGCAGAUCGAUACACUUUCCAAAUCUUCAAUGGAUGUCAUUUUUCAAAUUGAAAGGUUGAACCAUUCUGAGAAUUUUCAAAUUGGACAGGCCAUCUGUAAUCAGAUUGUGAUUAGUGUCAUGACCCAUUAGAUCUUUAUAAGAAGUUGGGGUUAGAGGUUUGUUCACAGUGGAUGUCAUGAGAUUUCUGGGCUUUCAUUUCCAUUCUUUCCUCACUAUUUCAUGACACUGAUGCUUCUCCCACCAUUCAUAUGGUUUGACUCGGACAUCUUAAUUAGUUUUUUCGAUCUCAGUUGAUGGGGGCCGGUUAUACUGGGAUAAUCUAGAGAAGCAAAUUAAUGGCAUCUUUCCAUUAUUGGAUUAUAUGAGGUUGUUGGCCAUGGUUCAAAGUCAUGGUAUCGGACACCAACUCGGUAAGUCUUGAGGCACAUGGGUCUCAACGUCGCAGAUCAAUAUCGGGUGAUACACAAAAAAUUAUAGUUUAAAAGCCCAAAACAAUUUAAAAAGAUUACAAAAAUAAAUACAAAUAAAUGAAGUUAAAAAUUAAUAAAAUAAACUUUUAUUAUAUAUAAAAUUAUUCAAAUUAUGAUAAAAACAUACCUUCGUAAUGAUUUAUAAAAAUAUAAAAAAAUUAAUUUAAUCACUUAAUAUUAAAUAUGCAUUAUUAAAGAUGAAAAUAAUAAAAAGUGAAUUUAUUGUUUAUAAUUUUUUUUAAAUUAAAUAUUUUAAAUUUUUAAAAAAUAUUUUCAAUAUUUUAAAAAAUACAUCUAGGAAUCAUCUUUGAAAAAAGUAAACAUCAUUUUUCUUAUCAAAUAUAUACUAAAUGAAACAAUUAUAAAAAUGGAGAAUUUUUAUUUGAAUGAGCAUAUUUGAAUAUAAUAUAUUUUUUCUAUACAUCUAUUCAUUUUAAUUGACUUUUUAUAUUAAUAUUUAUUUUCUAUUUUAUUUAUGUAAACCUAAAUAUUCAUUAUUAAUUUACCAUUAUCCUAAACCCAUCAAAUUUUCAUUAUCCAUUUAAAUACAAUUAUUCACCACAUAUUCAUUAACUACUUAUUUGUAAUCCUAUCAAAUACCCAUAAACCAUUCACCUCGCAAACACGUAUUUCCUUUUUUUGCACAAUACCCAUUUCCCCUCUAAAACAACACUUUGAGCUCUCUACUUCUUUGCACAAUACCUAUAUUUGAAGGCUAAAAAAAUAACCCCAUGAAGAUACAAGAGGAUGGAGAUGCAAAUAGAAGGAUGAAGAUGCACAAGGUUUGAAGACUCUAAACUCUCCAUACUUCUUCACUUUCAUGAGUUUUGAUUAUCUUCUCUUAUCCACCAUUUCUGCUCCAAUAUUACUAUUUUUUUUCCAUCACCCAUCACCCAUCACCCAAAGAGAUUAGUUUGAAUAUAAUAUUAGGGUUAUCUCAAAGUUUCUUUGUGAUUUAACAAGUUUAUUCAUGAGUCAACCAAAUAUUGGACUCAGGAAUCAGUCCAAUACGGUUCAUGAGCUCUUUAUUUAUUUGUACAAUACCCAUUUUUGAAGGCUCACAACACAACCCUACAAAGAUACAAGAUGAUGAAGAUGCAAAUACAAGGAUGAAAUGCAAAGGGUUUGAAGACUCUGAACUAUUUAUAUUUUUUCACUUUCAUGGGUUUCGAUCUUCUUCUCUCAUCCACCAUUUUCGCUACAAUAUUACUAUUUUUUUCCAUUACCCAUCACUCGAAAAGCUUAGUUUGGACACAAUCUUUAGGUUAUCUCAAAGUUUCCAUGCGAUUCAACAAGUUUAUUUCAUUAGAUAACCAAAUAUUGGACUCAGAUAUCAAUUCGAUACCGGUCAUGGCCAAGACGGAUGUAACUCAGUCGAGUCAAACUAGUCUUGACUAAGAUUUUGAACCCCAUUUGAGCUCUCUAUUUCUUUGCAUGUACAAUGCCCAUUUUUGAAGGCUCACAAAAUAGCCCUAUGAAGAUACAAGAGAAUGGGGAUGAAAAGGGUUUGAAGACUCUGAACUCUUCAUACUUCUUCGCUUUCAUGGGUUUCGAUCUUUUUCUCUCAUCUACCAUUUCUACUCCAAUAUUACCAUUUUUUUUCCAUCAUCUACCACCUGAAGAGCUUAGUUUGGAGAUAAUCUUGGGGUUAGCUCAAAGUUUCUUUGUGAUUUAACAAGUUUAUUCAUGAGUCAACCAAAUGUUGGACUUAGGUAUUGGUUCGACACCAAUCAUGGCUAAGGCGGAUAUGACUGAGUUGAGUCGUACAAGUCUCGAUCAAGAUUAUGAGCCCUGUUUGAGCUCUCUAUUUCUCUACACAAUACCCAUUUUUGAAGACUCACAAAAUAGCCUUAUGAAGAUACAAGAUAAUGGAAAUGCAAAUAUAGGUGUAGGACCUCAGGCGCUACCAACUCUCCUAAAAGCAAUUGCUGUUAGGAAAGACGCAUACCCUAACCUUAUAGUGCAUUCACCCAAGCGCCCAUGGAGAACACAAGGGGAGUUUAUGGAUACGACCAACCUUCCGAUCUAUCAGCAAUCUCCCAUACCACUUGUAGGACCUCAGACGCUACUAACUCUCCUAAAAGCAAUUGCUGUUAGGAAAGACGCAUACCCUAACCUUAUAGUGCAUUCACCUAAGUUCCCACGACAAACAUAAGAAGAGUUGAUGGACGCGGCCAACCCUCUGAUCUGCCAACAAUAGGGAUGAAAAUCCAAAGGGUUUGAAGACUCUGAACUUUCCAUAUUUCUACACUUUCAUGGGUUUCGAUCUUCUUCUCUCAUCCACCAUUUUCACUCCAAUAUUACCAUUUUUUUUUCUAUCAACCAUCACCCAAAGAGCUUAGUUUGGACAUAUUCUUAAGGUUAUCUCAAAGUUUCUUUGUGAUUUAGCAAGUCUAUUCAUGAGUCAACUAAAUAUUAGACUUGAGUAUCGAUCUAGUACUGGUCAUGGCCAAGGCAAAUAUGACUCGGUCGUGUCAUACCAAUCUAGAUCAAGAUUUUGAACCUUAUUUGAGCUCUCUAUUUCUUUGUACAAUACCCAUUUUUAAAGGCUCACAAAAUAACCCUAUGAAGAUACAAGAGGAUAAAGAUGCAAAUAUAGGGAUGAAGAUGCAAAAGGUUUGAAGACUCUGAACUCUCCAUAUUUCUUUGCUUUCAUGAGUUUAACUCUUCUUCUCUCAUCAACCAUUUUUGCUCCAAUGUUACCAUUUUUUUCACCAACCAUCACCCGAAGAGCUUAGCUUGGACAUAAUCUUUAGGUUAUCUCAAAGUUUCUUUGUGAUUUAGCAAGUUUGUUCAUGAGUCAACCAAAUAUUGGAUUUAGGUAUCAGUCUGAUACCGAUCAUGGUUGAGGUAGAUAUGACUCGGCUGAGUCUUACCGAUUUCGACCAAGAUUUUGAACCCUGUUUGAGCUCUGUAUUUCUUUGCACAAUACUAAUUUUUGAAGGCUUAUAAAAUAACCUUACGAAGAUACAAGAUGAUGGAAAUACAAAUACAAGGAUGAAGAUGCAAAGGGUUUGAAGAGUUUGAACUCUCCAUACUUCUUGAUUCGUUCCCAAUUGGUGUCUCAGCUGAUUCAUGUCCAGCUGGUGCUCUUUGAUUGAGAGAGUAAUCAACAAAAUUUAUAACCUAUAUCACUAUGCAUUAGGAUAGCUUUAGCUAAUAUAGCAUAGUGGCUCUAGGAUCGUUCACUGGGAAGGGUUUUCAACUCACAACUGAUACCAAUUCAAAGUUAAAUUGGUACUUUUUCAUUUCAAGGUUAGCUUAAGAAAAAAACACAAACUUUGUUUAAAUGAGGUUUUGUUUAAAGGUAACUAAAAAGAAAGUAAUGGAAAUUACUUAUGAAGAAAAACAUUCCUUGGAGGUUUAGGUUCACAGGGGAGGUUUCUUAUGCAAAAACAGAGCUCCGGUCAUUUGGUUCAUUUCCUCGCAUUAGAGAAUUAACAUAUAGUCAAUUCUCUAACCGGUGCUGCACAGAUGUAUCCUUUAAAUGGAUUUCAACUCUAAUUCCCUCUCACUGAUGCAACUUGCAAUGGCUCGUGCCUCUCACCUAGCAUUUUCCAUUCAAUGUGAUCUUUAACUUUGGACUUCUCUUCUCAAGCUCGCAAGAGAUAACUAACGGAUGUCUCCUUGGAGUCCAAAAGCUUACCAAGUGUUGGCAAUUCUAGAAAAUCCUACCUCCAAGUCACUUCCCAAAAGCCCGCAAGAGAUAAACAAGUGCAUCUCCAUGGACGGAGAUCACGUGCCUUACCAAGUGUUGGCUUAAGUGAAUUGAAGGUAUUUUAAGUUAACUAAAAACAUAUAAAUCAUUAAAGGAUCACACUUUCUCUUCAUUAAUGACUGAAACCACAAAGCUACUAAUUCUUGCACUUGGAACCUUUCCCGGCAACCUUAACUCCAAGGAACUAAAAGUCUAGCCACUCAUUCUAUGAGGAAACUUCCUCAGAGCUUGUUUGGCUAGUAAGAAAACUAACGAGAAAACAAUUAUAUGAAGGAAAAACAGAGCAAGUGCUCUAUAAAAUAUAUUUCUUUUUUCUGCCGAUUACAUAAUAUAUCUUUGUAAAGAAAAUUACAAACUAUAUAUAUGAGGUUAUUCACCCUUUGUACUUACUUAAAGACUAAGGAAUCCUAUGAUAGGUGGGUUACAAGGAGACUUUGGGAGGUGGGUUACAAGGAGACUUUGGGGAUUUAGACAACAAAUAUUUAAAGCAAAAUAUCUCAGGAUGUCGGUCGGAAAUAUCAAGAAGCUUCAGGAGAACACCGUGGCACUGUAUACUGAGAGAAAAACUCUCCUGGUAAGCGCUAUCAGAGGAUCCGGAUAAGUUUGACCGGAGAAGUUGAAACGUCCUCCUCUCCCAUCCGGCUGCGAGAUAUCCAGAUGUAAAAUGUCGGCGCACAGAAUUCCGGAUGUGAAAUGUCGACGCACGGAAUUCCUCCCCUGGUGGACUAAGCUAUGUUGCGCAAGGGGGACCGUCUGCGUGUGCAAGGUGUAGGGACCCCUCUCCCGGAUGACACGGAAUGCGCAAGGCUAUCCGGAUCAACUCCAUCCGGAUUCCCCAAGAGGACAUGUGGCGUGCUCCCCUAUUCAGACUCCCUCAGGUUGAAGCACACAGCACUCGUGAUCAUCACACCCGGACGAUAGCAUAUCCUAUCCGGAUAUGUUGUCCGGAUCAUUGACUUCCGCCGUCAUCCGAUGGUGUGUCCGGACAUCUUUUACUCCUUGCAUUCCAGAUUUGCUUAUGGAAAAGAACCUCAAAGCUUUGGUUCUUCAUAUUUCUGAGCUUUCCAUUGCUUUGCCAUGGAUUCCAAAGAACUCUCCUCAAUCACGGAUUGCUUUGGUGAUAAAAAAGCUAUCAAAACACCAAAACUUAACACAAUUUGAUUAGAAUUGAUUGCAAGGGUCCUUAAUAUGUUAAUUGGGUUAAAAUGUGAUAACUACUACUCAAAAGUGUUUAAAAGAGUUUAUUACAAGCUAUCAAAUAGCACUUUUUGAGUAGUAAUCACUUCUUCACUACCAUGGGUUUCGAUCUUCUUCUCUCAUCCACCAUUUUCCCUCCAAUAUUACCAUUUUUUUUCCAUCACCCAUUACCCGAAGAGCUUAGUUUGGACAUAAUCUUAGGGUUAUCUCAAAGUUUCUUUGUGAUUUAACAAGUUUAUUCAUGAGUCAACUAAAUAUUGGACUUGGGUAUCGGUUCGAUAAUAGUCAUGGCCUAAGAUUUUGAACCCUUUUUUAGCUCUCUAUUUCUCUGCGCAAUACCCAUUUUUGAAGGCUCACAAAAUAACCCUACAAAGAUAUAAGAUGAUAGAGAUGCAAAUACAGGGAUGAAGAUGCAAAGCGUUUGAAGACUCUGAACUCUCCAUACUUCUUCACUUUCAUAGGUUUCGAUUUUCUUCUCUCAUCCGUCAUUUUAGCUCCAAUAUUACCAUUUUUUUGCAUGACCUAUCACUCGAAGAGCUUAUUUUGGACAUAAUCUUAGGGUUAUCUCAAUUUUUUAUUUUAUUUUUGUGAUUCAACUAGUUUAUUCAUGAGUUAACCAAAUAUUAAACUCGGGUAUUGGUCUAGUACCGGUCAUGGUUGAGGCGGAUAUUACUCGGCCGAGUCGUUUUGAUCUCAACUGAGAUUUUGAACCCCAUUUAAGUUCUUUAAUUCUUUUCACAAUACCCAUUUUUGAAGGCUCACAAAAUAACCCUACGAAGAUACAAUAUGAUGAAGAUGCAAAUAUAGGGACGGAGAUGCAAAUGGUUUAAAGACUUUGAGCCCUCCAUAUUUUUUCACUCUCAUGGGCUUCGAUUUUCUUCUCUCAUCCACCAUAUACGCUCCAAUAUUACCAUUUUUUCCAUUACGCAUCACCCGAAAAGCUUAGUUUGGACAUAAUCUUAGGGUUAUCUCCAAGUUUCUUUUUUAUUCAACAGGUUUAUUCAUGAGUCAACCAAAUAUUGGACUUGGGUAUUAGUUCGGUAUUGGUCAUGGCCGAGGUGGAUAUGACUUGGCCGAGUCGUACCGGUCUUAAUUGAGAUUUUGAACCCUAACUGAACUCUCCAUUUAUUUGCACAAUACCCAUUUUUUUAAGGCUAACAGAAUAAGCCUACGAAGAUACAAGAGGAUUGAGAUGCAAAUAUAGGAAUGAAGAUGAAAAGGGUUUGAAGACUCUUAACUCUUUAUACUUUUUCACUUUCAUGGGUUUCAAUCUUCUUCUCUCAUCCACCAUUUUUGCUCCAAUAUUACCAUUUUUUUCCAUUACCCAUCACCCAAAAAGCUUAGUUUGGACAUAAUCUUAGAGUUAUCUCAAAGUUUCUUUUUUAUUGAACAAGUUUAUUCAUGAGUUAACCAAAUAUUGGACUCGGGUAUCGAUCCAAUACCGAUCAUGGCUGAAGCGGAUAUGACUCGAUCAAGUCGUACGAGUCUCAAUCGAGAUUAUGAACCCUAUGUGAGCUCUUUAGUACUCUACACAAUACCCAUUUUUGAAGUCUCACAAAAUAGUCCUACAAAGAUGCAAGAGGAUAGAGAUGCAAAUAAAUGGAUGGAAAUCCAAAGGGUUUGAAGACUCUGAACUCUCCAUAUUUCUUCACUUUCAUGGGUUUCGAUAUUUUUCUCUUAUCCACCAUUUCCACUUCGAUAUUACUAUUUUUUUCCAUCACCCAUCACCCUAAGAGCUUAGUUUGGACAUAAUAUUAGGGUUAUCUCAAAUUUUCUUUGUGAUUCAACAAGUUUAUUCAUAACUCAACCAAAUAUUGAACUCGAGUAUCGGUCCGAUAUCGGUCAUGGUGGAGGUAGAUAUGAGAACAACCAAAUAUUCAAUUUUUUUUUAAAUUUAUAAUGUGCAUUUACUACAAAGCAAUCUUUAAAAUAAAAUAAAACUACCAUUGAUAAUUAGGUUACACUUGACAGCAAUUUUAGGAAGUGUUUUUAAUCUUUCUAAUACUUGAAAAAUAACAAUAGUGGUUUUAAGAAACGUUUCUAACUUUUUUAAUGGACAAUUGCAAAUUAGGAAAUAAAUAUGUAAAUGGGUACCAAUUUUUCUAAAAGCUUUUAAACUUUUUUCUAUUUUGGGUUAUAAUGUGUAUCAUGUUAUUAACAAUAUUUUUGCUUUUAUUUCAUGUCAAAUAAUAUAAUUUUUAACUUUAGAAGAGUCACAAACAAUAUUUGUGUUUACCCUAAAAUGCUUUUUCCUCGUAUGCAUUUCAGGGUGUAGGGAUUCUCAUGGAAAAUACUUCCCAUGGCUGGCAUGGGAGUUGAAGAAUUGUUGCAUGUGCAGCCAAAGGUAAAAGAGGGAUUCAUGUGUUACCUGAAUUGCAUUUUAUCUGAUUUACAAUUUGAUUAUAUGUAUGUUUGUGCAGUCUGGUGCUUGUGUUGCUCAUUUCUAUAUGUGCUAAAUGGAGGAUUUCUUUUUCAUCCAAAACCCUAGUAUUGCAGGAGAUAGUUGCUUUAUGGGUCAGUCUUCUUACCAAAUCUUAACUCUAUGCUGACUUCUUUUUCUUUGAUUUCCUACUCUUUGUUCUGCAUAUGUGUUUUCAACCUAACUAUUUUCAUAGGGAUCAAUGGAAAUUAUGAUUUUUCAAAGAAUAUUGAAAGUAGAAGAAAAUUAAGCAUUUGUGAAAUAUGGAGGAGCAAAAUGAUUUCUUAGUUUUAGCACAUCAGUUUACAGAAGAUAUUGUAAUUUCACAUGAUGAAAAUGAAGAGGGGAACCCAGAUUUCCAAUGGAGGGACUUUUUGGGCUUGGGGGACUAGAAAUGCAAGAUAUAAGUGCAAAUAUUGGAGUUACCCAACCAUAAAUCUGUCCGAAAAACUCGCUUUAAGGGGAGGAUGUUCCUCAUACACAAGAUGGAUUUAGCAUGGGGAUAAUUAGAUCCUAGAUGUUUGUAAGACUCAAUUCUAUCCAGUUUGCGUCCUUUUGGGGCUCCAUCAUGUGGGUUCUUUCCCCUUUUCGGUCAUCUUAAACUGGCUCUGAUGGUUGUUCGAUUGGUAACUCCGAAAGAUCAGAAUAGCUGUAUCUGCUAAGAUAAUGGAUGAAAUGAUAUGCUAACUUGGCAACUCGAAAAUAAUGGCCCGUGUCUUCCUCCUAUUAGGGUAUAUUGAAUUCUAAUUCAAGAAAAUUUUGCAGUAUUCAGGGUGGAAGCAGAUCACUUAAUCUUUUGUAGUAGGGAUUUAAGAGGUUUAGGCAGAUGCUUGAAGGUUUAUUCAUACUUAUUGUGAAGCAGAUCAUCUGGAAAACUGGGGAGUUAUCAUGCUGAAGACAUUUUUCUCCUUAUUGAAGUUUUCCAAACAAACCCUUCCAUCUAGGGUGAAUUAUUGGUUUCAUUUGGCUGAGUAGGAGAUUUCAGAUAGAAGCCAUCAAUCCUGGUCCUCAAGGGUGGAGUGGUAUGAUUACCAUCUAUGUAAAGACUUUGAAAUUUUUUUGUCAUUAACAAGCAUUUGUUGAUAAAUUUGCUUACCAUCUUCCACAAAUGAAAUUAUGGUUUUGAGUGUAUAAUUAUAACUGCUUAUGAUGAAAGGGAAAAACACCGACAAAGGACUCACUGGUUUUUUCUGCACAAAUGGGAGCAAUCUGUUAUUCUGGUUUCUUAUUACACACAAGCAAAACGAUCAUUUAUAGUUGUAAAUAGAGAGCUCUUCUUCUUACCUAGACUGAAAGUGACGGAGGUUUACUAUUUUAAGUUCAGUGACAUGUCCACAUUUUCUUCCUUUGCCUUACGAAGUGUUUCAAAUCCCAUUUCUUUCCAGACAUUCUUUAGCCUUUGAGCAACCGAAGAGAUAAGGGGACGCUUUUGGGGGUUCUCUUCUGUGCACAUCAUCCCUGCAUCGAGCAUGUGGAUACAGCAUUGCUCAAGCUUAUGUAAAGCACCACUCCCCUCUUCCAAAUAUGCUUCGUGCUUCAGUGAGAUGUCUACAAUAUCCAAAACUUGAUUUGGAAAAGCAGAACACACCCAUUUCCUUAGAUCAAGUCCAUCUGAAAACAUUUCAUUCGUUGGUCUCUUCCGUGUUAUCAUCUCUAACAUCAUCACUCCAAAACUGUAUACAUCUCCUCUUGUUGAGACAUCGAUCCCCUGCCCAUAUUCUGUGUACAAGCAAUAGGAACUAUUAGCUGAAUCACUGUACUUUUAUUUAUAUCCCUUCAAAUUAGGAUAGUCUGUUUAAAGAAAGAGACAUGGAUAGAUGCAGUUGGUUCAUAUUAACUAUCUGAAUAUCACAAGAAUGCAAGCAUCCUUCUUUUUCAUUUAGAUGUAAAUGCUUCUCAUUGGAAAAGCGAUUAGGAAACUAUCUGAAUAUCACUGUACUUAAAGAAAAGCGGGAGAAUAACCAACAAGACAUACCAUGUUGUUAAACAAAUUUAUCAUAAUGGUAUAUGAGGAAACACACAAAACCCUAUUUUUUCUUCUCGACUUCUAUCCUAUUAUUAACAGUUAGUUCUCUAGAAUAUAUGACCAUUGGGUAGGCAGUCAAAUGAAUGAAAACUAGACUAGUUUGAAGUUCAUGUGAGAUGAAAGAUUGGCAUUCAUGAUUAAAAGUAAUUAUCUAGUCUGAUAACUUAUCAUUUACUUCUCAGAUUUGAAGGUAGGUCGCUAACUUUUCCAAGAAGAUUCAAAGGGAUUAUGAAGCAUAGGAUUGAAGAUUUAUAUAAGGUAAUCAAAUGCAUACCUGGGGGGAUAUACCCGACAGAUCCUCGUAGAAAAGCAGUUGUGGUAGUAACAUGUCCUCUUGGUUUGUCACCUGAAAUGAGCUUUCCAAUACCAGAAUCUCCUACAUGAGCCACCAUAUCAUUGUCCAAAAGAACAUUUUGUGGUUUCAGGUCACAGUGUACAACUUGAACAGGACAACCCUCAUGAAGAUACUCCAAGCCAUUUGCAACAUCUAUUGCUAUUCCCAUUCUUUCCCUCAAUUUUAAUUCACUACCUCCUUCAUCUGACCCACCAGGGUAAAGAUGCUGUUCCAAGUUCCCAUUGCCUAUAUACUCGAGAACAAUAGCCUUGAAUCCUGAAUUCCAGGUCGAUCCUAUCAUUCUAACCAGAUUCCUAUGUCUAAUUUCAGACAGUAUUUGACACUCCCUUUUAAAACUUCUGUAACCCUGAACACGCUCUUCUUGCAGAACCUUAACUGCCACAACAGUUUUUCCAUCAUUGAUGAUAGCUUUAUACACCCUACCAAAACUUCCUUCCCCUAAUAGAUUAGCCUCAUCAAAACCGCCAGUAGCAAUUUCGAUUUCCCUUUCAGUUAAAGUUUGGGUUCCAUGAUGGGUUGGGGAAUACAUUAGAAUUGCAGUCUCCGCACCUGCACUCCUAUUUUUGAAGAAGAAACGACGAACAGUGAGGGCGAUCAGCACAAAGAGAAGCAGAGAACAAGUUAAUAUUGCAAACAGGUAAUAAAUCCAUUUCCUUUUCUUGUGCUUUUGUUUCAGAAUUUCACAUGGAUGGAGACCCAUAAGUUUGGUGCCACCACAGAGCCCCAUAUUCCCCAUGAAUGAGCUGCUUCCUAGAUUUUUAUACCUCCCACUAUUUGGAACCUCUCCUGUUAAUCUGUUAUACGAUAAAUUGAGAUUCUUGAUCUUCUGGCUGUCACCAAUCCAGAUUGGAACAUUUCCUGUUAAAUUAUUGAAAGCCAAGUCCAGAUAUCCUAGAUCAAUGAUUUGCUUCAGGGACUCUGGGAUUGUACCUUCAAGCAUGUUGUGAGAGAGGUUCAGAUACUCCAUUGAAAUGCAUCUUCCAAUCGAACUUGGUAUCACUCCGAAGAAUUUAUUCGCUGACAAGUCAAUUGCCAGCACAGAUGCCAGAUUUCCAAUACUAGCAGGUAGUUCUCCUUCAAGAUUGUUGUUCGAAAGGUUGAGUGAAAGAGCCAGGUUUGAGAAAUGACCAAUUUCUGUGGGAAGAGACCCUUGUAAGUUGUUAAAAGACAAAUCAAGAAGCAUUAGAAGAGAACAUUGGGUGAGUUCGAUGGGAAUUUUCCCUGUGAGGUGGUUGUGAGACAAGUAAAGAUAUCUCAACUGUGACAGAUUACCAAGAGAAGAUGGGAUUGUCCCACUAAUCAAAUUAUCACUAAGUUCCAGUAAACCAAGGUUAGCCAUCUGCCCAAGUUCAUCUGGAAUUGGCCCAAGAAGUUUGUUUCUUCCCAAGUGUAAUCUCUGCAACUGCCUAAGCUUCCCAAUUGUUGCAGGAACUCCAUUCAAAAAAUUAUACCACAGGUCUAGAGUCACAAGGCCGCUUAGAUUUCCAAUUUCAGCUGGUAGGUCUCCUGUUAAUUUGUUGUUUCGAAGAUUCAAGUAGUAGAGAUCUUUGGAAAGACUGCCAAUUGAAGCCGGUAAACUUCCUGCAAACAGACAUGCCCCUAAGUGCAGUUUCUGUAGACGUGAACAAUUAGUGAGAGGAGUUAGAAAACUGAGGGAAGAGUUGUUGGAACCGCUCACCAGGUUAUUGCUAUGAAGGUAAAGUCUCUCAAGUUUCUUCAACUUCCCCAACUCAGGAGGGACUUCCCCCUCUAACUGGUUGAGGCUAAGAUCAAGCAGUGUCAGCUGAGAAAGAUUGGACAGGGUCACUGGAAUUUUCCCAGAAAGUUGGUUUUCUUGGAAGUACAAUCUCUGCAAGUUAUGGAGCUUUGACCCCAAUUCGAAAGGGAUUGUUCCCGUUAACCGAUUCUCAAUCAGUGUAAUGUGACGCAGGGCAGUGCAAUUACUGAUGGAUGCAGGUAUGCUUCCUUCCAAAAAGUUGAUGUGGAGGUACAAUAUCUCCAGCUUUGUUAAUGCUCCUAGCUCCUCUGGAAUCCUUCCUGUGAAGUAAUUAACUUGCAAUUCUAAAUCUGUCAGCUUUGUCAGAUUCGAAAGAAACGAUGGUAUAGCUCCAGUGAGGCUGUUCUCAGAGAGACAAAGGUAUGUCAAGUUUGUCAUUUGGCCUAGUACAGCAGGAAUGCUUCCAGUCAGAUUGUUAUAGUCCAAGUCUAUUGUCUCCAGGCUCCAGCAGCCUUGUAUUGAGGCUGGAAUAUUGCCCCCAAGCUUAUUACCACUCAUGUUUAUGAAUGUUAACUCAGAAAGCUCUCCAAUGGUAGCUGGGAUCUCUCCAUACAAGCUGUUGGCUUGCAAAGAGAGGGUGGUGAGAUGGGAUAGAUUGGAUAUGUAUGGUGAGAUAACUCCCUGUAAGCGCAUGUUUAUGAGCUCAAUGGCUAUGACCCGGUUCUUAAGUUGCUGGUGGCAUGUAAUCCCUGUCCAGUUGCAGAAGAACCUGGUUUCAUUCCAAUCUUGGAGAUGACCAUCUGGAUCACCUGUUAUGCCUUGUUUGAAUUUGAGCAGAGAUUGACAAUCAGUGGAGUUUUUGCAGAGGAAUGUGGAAGUUGAUAGUAGAGCAAGACAACUAAGAGAGAAAAACACUGCCACAGCAACGGGAUUGUUCUGAUUGUAUGCCAUUCUCUCUCUCUCUCUCUCUCAGUGUGUGUGUACAGCUUUUGGAAUUCGAUGUUAGAUUUCAGGCCAAAAGUUUUUUUUCUCACUUGUUAGGUAAGAUGGGAUGAACAAUCAAUUUUCUUAAAAGUUUAAACUUAACGUGUAUCAUACUUUUCAACACUCGACGGGAUCAAUGGUAGAAGUUUAAAUAGAUGGGCUCAGUUGCUCAAAUGGUUCAGACAACUUGGCCUAGUGAGGGGCAGGUGGUGAGCCCUCAUUUAUCACUGGGACCAUAGAGCAAGACUUUUUGGUAUUGCCAUCACCUGUCUUAACUUCAUUCAACCUCUUCAAUGCUGUUUGACAUUUUCUUCCGUGACAGAAUUAAUAGCUAUGCAGUUUCCCAAAAUUUGCUCCGAACCCAUUGUCAUUUUUUUUUCUUCAUAUUUUAUAUUUUGUAUUUAUUUAUUUUUAUAUUAUUAUCAUUUAUUAUUUAUUUUAUUUUUCUUUCUUUUUCUUUUAUUUAUUUUAUUUUCUUCUUCCUUUCUUCCUCCAUGCAUGCACUACCAUUGUCACUUUUUUCUCUUUCUAAGGAUUUGCAAUUGACUCUAUUGAUAUUUUGUUGGUUGAGCAUGGAUUUAUGACUUAUAACACACACAUGGAAGGUUGAAUUUCAUGAAAGAAAAUGAGGGUUAGAAAAAUAAUAAAUGGGAAACAUUGAGCUUAUUGUGGGUUUGAUUUGGUACAAAUUCUUUUGUAUAUAUCUACUUGGGUAUACAAUUGAAUAUUUAAUUUAGGAAAAUUCAAAAAAUUGUUUUCAAUGAAAUUAAAAAAAAAAAUUAAUAACAAUUGCCUGGAAAUUUAUUUAUUUAAUAAACAUUGUUUUGUCAAUAAAAUUGUCAUCAAAGUUAAUUUUUAAUAAAAUUAUCUAAAAAAGUGAAUUUAUAAAUGAAAUUCUAUUUCCUUAAUUUAAAUGGGAUAAAAAGUAAUUUUUGUAAAUUAAAGUCUUAAAUAAUUUUUUCAUAAUAAUAGAACGAGAAUCUUUUUAGCAAAUUGAACUUAUACAAAUUAUUUUCUUUUCGUAAAUAAAGUUUGUAAAGAAAUUAUUUUCUUUAUAAAUAAAAUCAAAAUGAAAUAUUUUUACAACUAAAAGAAUAUUUAAUUGAGCAAGUGAUGAACUAUUUGCUUGUUUAAGUAACCUUUUGAAAUGUUCCCUCAGCAUAAUGGUAGUACAAUAAGAGGGUUUAUUAUGUACUUCUUUCUAUAUGGACUUUGGGUAUAAUAAAAACAAUGCUUUCUCUCUCUCUCUCUCUCUCUCUCUCUCUCUCUCUCUCUCUCCCCCUAGUCCACAGGUUUACACCCUCAGCUUUACCCUGGACUAAGUCCUGAAACCCAAAGAUUAUGCAGAAUCAAACUCUUAAAGUCUACAGCAUGAGUUGAAGAAAAAAGGAUGAGUAUUUAAUGUAGUAGUUGAGGAAUGAUUCAAUGUUUGAAAUAUAAAAAAUGCAAUCCAUUGAACACUUAGCUGGACUAUCUGCUUAUUGUAUACAUAAAACAUAGACUAAUCCGAAGACUUCUAUGUUAUAACUUUAGAAUUUUCAUAUCCAAGGUUUUCACUUCUUUCUCAUCAGAAGACAAAGAUUGUAACUGUUGCAGAAAACCUAACAACCUAGUUUAUUUGUUAAGGUCCCUUUCUCUCAUAAGACAUAAAUAUAUUCACUAUCAAACACCAUAAUGAUAAUAAUAAUGAUCUUCUUUUUGCUGUAUAUACACUACUUUAGAGUUUGUUCAAUGUUUGGUUACCAAGAAAACAGAAGGACUGAUCUGCUGCAUUAAAAGGUUAAGUAAUCCUGAAUACUUUCACUUCAUUUUGCCAUAUGUAGUUCUUCCAUUAGCUAGCCAUUUGGAACUAAAUCUUGUGGAGAACUUUUCAUAUUGGAGAUGGAUAUGAAAUUGGAUCUGCCUCCACCUCAUUGAACUUCACUUUCAACAUAUGCAUUGAGAAUAUUUAAGUUAAGAUCAGUAUACUAACUAACCCUACAUAAAUUAACAUGUAUUGGUGAAAACACUUAUCCUUGUAAGUGAGAAAGCAAAAAAAAAAAAAGAAAAAAAAAAAAGACCUACCCAUUGAAGACCAUCUAUAAAUUGACAUGUUUCUCAUGCAAAAAUUUUCACCCCUCACCUAAACACAAAGAUUUGUGAUUGUUUGGAGACAGUACUCUAACAAUGGAGAAAGGUGUUAGUUUCCUAGUAACUGUGGCCCUCAUGGCAUUGGCUUCAUCUUUUGCCUCUGCCUCUGAUCCAAGCCCACUGCAGGACACUUGCGUUGCCAUUGGGGAACCCAAGAAUGCUUGUAUUUCUUUAGUAACCAAUGAACUUGUCACUAUUUUCACUGAUCUUUCCAAUUCAAUAUUGGGCACAUUAAUGCAGUAGCCAUUGCUGGUCUAAGCAGCCAAAAUCCAGGUGUAAUCACCAUAUCCAAUGCAGUGUUUGGAUCAAAUCCACCAAUCAAUCCUGAUUUCCUGGCAACGGCCUUCCAGUUGGACAAGAAGGUGGUUGAAUUCCUUCAAGCACGAUUCUAGUGGGGAAAUAGAGAAAAUGAAGAAGCUAUGAACCUUUGAUUUGCUUGCUUGAAUGACUAUUUGUGAUGUUCAAUUACCUCAUUACAAUAAGAGGGGUUUAUUACUUUAUUUUGUAGCUCUUUUGGUGUGGACUUUGGUCCUAAUAUUAAAAUAAAGCAGUUUGUCUGUUAUGCAUCUUCUUCUGUCUCCAUCUCAAUAUUUGUCUUAAAAAAUCUUAUCUUGUGAAAAAACAACUCUCAGUUGAUUGAUUAACCUGCAUGUGCAGAAUGUUUAUUAAGAAUGAAUACUUAACUAGUUGUAAAACAGUACUACUGCUACUUCCAGCAUACUGCUGGCAGAAUUGGUGAUGAAGGAAUGAACAUUGAGGCAACAACUGCUGAGAAUUCAAAAAUAAAAAAGAUGCCAUUUUGCUUCUCUAUAUUUUCCCAUUAUAACUCAUCAACCGAGAUCGAAGAAACUAAUUAAGAUGUCCAAGUAAACCAUUUGAAUGGUGGGAGAAGCAUAAGUGUCAUGAAAAUUGUGAAGAAAGAAUGGAAAUGAAAACCCAGAAAUCUUAUGACAUCUACUGUAGACAAAUUAAUGUCUUAAAUAAUCUUUUCAUAAUAAUAGAACGAGAAUCUUUUUAGCAAAUUGAACUUAUACAAAUCAUUUUCUUUUCAUAAAUAAAGUUUAUAAAGAAAUUAUUUCCUUUAUAAAUAAAAUCAAAUUGAAAUAUUUUUGUAAAUAAAGUUCUAAAAAUUCAUUCUUUUUCUAGUAAAAGUAAGUCAAAAUAAUUUUUAUUGUCAAAUUGGAAUUUUUUGAAUAAAUUCUAUCCAAAUAAAAUUCAAUCAAAUCAUUUAUUGGAAAUAAAUAAAUAAAUUAAAAUCUUGAAAAAGUAAUAUUUAAAAUAUCUUUUUGUAAUCAAUUUAAUAAAUCGGGGUGUAUAAUUCUAAUGUCAUUUAUUUUGUACAUUUUUGUAAUUUAAUUUUAUAAUUAUUUUCUUGUAUAUUAAUUUGUGUCUUUAAUCUUGAUAUUCAUGAUUGAUCAAUUAACUGUCAUAAUUCAUUUUGUUUGUUUAGUAAAGAUUGUUAGUAUACAUGCUUAGAGGGGUAUUACCACUUAUUAUUGUACCUUUCUGAUAGACAACUUGACCCUUGAAUAUAGACUUGAUUUUACAGACAUGUCUUUUCUAAAUGAGGAUUUAUACAAAAUUUUCUUUCUUAUUUUAUUUUCUCUUUUAAAAAAUAAAUUAAAAUAAGUGGCAAUCCUAAUUUUUUUAUAUAAAAAAAAAAAAUCAAAAUUUCACAAUAAAAAUGAGUCUCACUGUCGAGUGGGAACACACGCAAAAAAUACGGGUCAACAUGUAUCCAAUUGAUUGGGGUCAAUGUCAAGAUGUAUGAUAAAGAUGCAAAAUUUGAAUAUGAAUCCUACCAUUGAUUGAAUCUUGAACUACCUGAUACUGGUUGUAACAAGUGAGAUAAGUUGCUAAGGUUUGCAUUGAAAUCCUCAAUUGAAAGUUACUAGUCAUCCAAAUAUGUAUAUAAAUCAAAGUGCACACAAUUGAUUUUCUUUCUCUUCUAAAUCCAAGAAAUCAACCUCCUUAAGCAAAAGACCUUAGAAUUCUUAGAGUGUGUUUGAUAGUGAUUUUAGGAAGUGUUUUUAACUUUUUUAAUAAUUGAAAAAUAAGAAUUUUGAAGUGUUAAAAAUGUUAGAAACGCUUCCUAAAAUCACUAUCAAACGCACUUUUAAUGUAAUUUGCUCUAUGUACCACUUGAUGUGGAUGUUAAGAUUGAUAUCCUUGGUCAUUGCCUAUAAUCCUAUAUCUAUAAUAGCAAGAAGACAUACAUUGAAACAUGAAUACCCUUUCACUAUGUUUGGUUUAUGGAAAAUACUAAGAAAAGAAAAUGUUCUGAAAAAUGUUUUUCUUAUAUUUAGUUUUAUUAUGAAAAAUAAGAAAAAAAUAAAAUAUAAUUAUAAUUAAUUAAAAUUUUAUGUAUUUUAAAAUUAUUUAAUAUUUAUAUAAUGAAGGAAAAUAAAUGAAACAAGCUUGAAAAAGUAUAUAAAAAUAAUUUAUUAAUUAUAACUUGUAUGCGACUAUUUUGUACUUUAAUCCCGUUUUUCUUUUAUUCUCUUGUAGGUACCUUGAUUUUAUAUAUUUGUAUCUUUAUUCGAUGAUUUAGAUUUCAUAUAUUUGUAUCUUUAAUUGAGAUUGCAAGAUCCGUACGGAUUCAGAUUAGGGAUGACAACGGUAUGGGCUUGAGGCAAGUUACUCAUAUCCCAAUCCAUUAUAUUUAUUCGUAUAUGUUAUCAUCCCCACCAAAAAAAGAAAUUAAAUGGGAAUAGGAAAUUCUCAUGCCUACCCCAUGCUAUCCCAUUAUUUAUUUAUUUAUUUUUCAAUUUUUAUUUCUAAAAUUUUAAGAAAAUUAAUAUUUUAAAUAUGUUAAAAAAAUUGAAAACUGAAAAAAGAAAUCAAUUAAAGAACUUUUUAUUUAACAUUAUACAUAAUUAGGCUGAGGUAGGAUGAAACAAACUCAUACCCAAAAUCACCCUGAAUCAAUCUUGGGUUUUUAAAAAUUUCUCAAAUUCAAGAUGAGACAAAAUCAUAUCCAAAACUAUCUCGAAUCCAUCCUAGAUUUUAAAAAUUUUCUCUAAUUUAUCUAAACUUUAUAUCAUUAUCUCAAAACGAGUACAUUAAGGGUAUGACAAGUACUAAAAAAAAAUUGGUAUAUUGUCAUCCCUAAUCAAGAUCCUAAAAUUUUUCUUUAUGAUAAUGAAAACAACAAUCAUAGUCGUCAUCUCUCUAUCAGUGUACUUUUUAGGUUUGAUCGAAUACACCUUAUGUGUUGCCUUUGGGGCAACCUAGCUCUCUCAAUCAUUGUCUAAAGUUCGGGUGUUUGUUUGUUUUAAUUUUUUUCGACUUUUUUUAAUACUAAAAGUAACUUAAUGACUUUUUUUUAACUUUUUAGUACUUAAUAAAAAUAAAAUAUUAAAAAACCAAAAACUGUGAUGUUUAAUACUUUUAAACACUAUAUAAUUUUAAGUUUUAUUCAAAAUUAAGUAAAAAAGAAAAAAAAAACACUCCUUUGAUGGUCAUCUAAAACUUUUAGGUCAAAGCUUGAUUUGGAGCUCAUUUAAACCUAACCCAAACUUCAACUAAAAAGACCUAUGUCCAACACAAUUAUUAGAGGUGUCCAAUGGGUCAUGUCGGGCCAACACAACCCAUGUUUAUCAGGCCAAUGCGUUGGCUCGACCCAUGCAAGCCAAAUAGGUGGCUUGACAUGGCCCAUAAACCCAUGGGCUAAUCAUGUCGUGUUGUGCCAUGUCGGUGAGUCGCCCCAUGGGCCACACACUUUAAUUAUUAUUUUUUAAUUUAUUUUGUCUUAAGUUUUUUAUUAUUAAAUAAAAUUUCUUUUUGUUACUUUAAACACCUCUAAUAAUUAUACUUUUUAUUUUUUAUAUUUAUAUUUAUCAAGUUUAUAACUGUAAAAUUUAUAAAAAUGUUAGUUUUUUGUUUUUAAAAAUAAUAAAAAGUGAUAUUUAAAGGGUUAAGUGGGCCAACAUGAUGGCACGACGGGUUGUUUCCUUAGGCCCACCACGACCCGCUCCUUUGGGCCAUGCCGGCCUGACUCGAUCUUUUGGCGCACUAGGCCACAGGCCAAAAUGGGUGGCUCGACCCAUUGGACACCUCUAGUAGUUACAUGUCUAGCAUCCAAACGGUAGACCAGGUGAGUUUUGUCAAACCCAACCCAUUCAUCCCCUUUGCUUCAUGUUGGCCACCCGGUUCAGACCAACCAUUGGGUUGAUUUGGGGUCUUGGUUAUUUUUGUUUAAAUAAAUUGCAAAGAAAAAAAAAACUUGGUUUGGAUAAAUAAACUUAAGUUGUUUUUAAAAUAAGCUUUUAUUUGAUUUUUUCUAAAAAAAUUUAUAAAUUCAAUUUGUACAAUAUUAAUUAUAUUUAAUUGAAGUCUUAUUAAAGAUUUAAAAAAAAAUAGUUUUUAAAUUAAAGAUAAAUUAAAAAAAAUCAUAAAAUAUGAAAUUAAUAUUAUAAUAAAAUCAUAAAUUAUGAUUUUUAUUUAAAAUGAUACUAUUUUAAGAUAUGAUUGAUUUAUUUAUUUUGAUAAGAAUGAAUAAUACUAAUUUUAAAAUAAUAAAAGGGUGAUAUAGUUUAUUUGAAAUAAAUUUAAAAAUAAAUAAAAUUUAUUUUUUUAAUACGUAAAUAAGCGAAGUUUUUCAUUAUAUCUACACCUGAGAAUUUAAUCAAGGAUAUAGUAUUUUGAACUAGUUUUGAUUCAUUCCUAUAAUCUUCAUUCAGUCAUUAUGGUUUAGACAAUUGAUAAUUAAUCUGUUGGCAUAAUUGAUUCUGCAAAACAGUAUCCUGAAUUUAGUAUCGAGGGAGGCAGAAACACAGCGAGAGAGAGAGAGAGAGAGAGAGAGAGAGAGAGAGAGAGAGAGAGAUGAUGCUUAACAAUUAACAGACUGCAGACUGCUUUAUUGUAGUAAUAUGCCCAAAGUCCACACCAGAAGAGUUACAACCAGACCCUCUUAUUAUACCAUGUUUGUUACAAUGAGGGAAUUGAACAUCAUGAAUCGUCAUUCAAGCAAGGAAAUCAAAGGUUGACAGCUUAUUCUUUUUCUAUAUUUCCCCACUAGAAUCGUGCUUGAAGGUAUUCAACCACCCUCUUGUCCAACUGGAAGGCCCUUGCCAGGAAAUCAGGAUUGAUGGGUGGAUUUGAUCCAAACAUUGAACUGGCUAUGGUGAUUACACCUGGAUUUUGGCUGUUAAAAGCGGCAAUGGCUACUGCAUUAGUGUGCCCAAUGUUGACUUGGAAGUGAAUGAGACUGAAAGGGAACACAAAAACAUCCCCCUUGUUCAGGACUUUGCUAAUGAAGCGGUGUUCAGGGUUGGAUGUGAUAAAGCCAACAAAGAGUGUUCCCUCCAAGACAAUGAAGACCUCACUGGCACGAGGGUGAAAGUGAGGAGGGUUUUGACCAUUAGGUUCAUAAUCGAUACGAGCCACUGACACCCCAAGAGUGUUUUCUCCUGGUAAUUGAUCAACAUUUAUAAGAUUGACAAUUGAGCCCACAUAAUUUGAUGUGUUUCCUGGAAUAUUCAGCCCUUGAUACAAGAAAUCCUCGGCCACGGUCAGGUUUGGGUUCUUGCAGAACUUCCCAUUUACAAAUACUGCAUGAAGAAGGAAAAAAGAAAAGAUAUAUCAUUAGUAUCAAACCAUACUCACCAUAUCAAUAAAAAGAGAAGUACUGAAAAUAGCUAUAAGAUCAUUGGUUACUAUAGAAAUACCAGCAUUAUUGGGCUCAUCAACGGCAACACAGGUGUCUUCCAGUGGGCUUGGAUCAUAGGCAGAGGCAAGAAAGGAAGCCAAUGCCAUGAAGGCCACGGUUACCAGGAAACUAACGCCUCUCUUCAUUGUUAGAGUACUGCCUCCAACAAUCACAAUCUUUAUCUUUAGGCGGGGAUAAGAAAUUUAGCAUGGAAAAGAUGUUAAUUUAUAGACCAGAGUCGAUGAGUUAGUCUUUGCAUAAACUCACCAAGUCUUCAAUGGGAAGUUUUUUCUUCUUUCUUUUUUCACUUUCGAGGACAAGCGGUUGCACCAAUACAUGUUGAUUUACGUAGGAUUAGUCAGUAAACAGAUCUUAACCAGAAUAUAAAGCAAUGUACAAUCAGGUGGAGGCAGGUCCAAUUUAAUAUCAAUCUGCAUGAUCCAAACGUUUACAUUGUUUCAACAUUUUUGUAUUAUGGUUUUUAUGAACUGUGUUUUUUUGAGUUGUAAGGAAGAAAAACUUAGGUUUAAAGUUCUAGCAUAGAAGAAAAAACCUGUAGAUUAAUUGAUUUUUUAAUCUGAACCAAACACAUGAUCAACUCCAUAAAAACAAGUGGAAAACAAGAAAAAAUGAAUGAUUUUUAAUAUGUAUUUGUGUGAGAAUGAUAGGUAUAGAUUUUUUUUUGAGAUAUACUGCCACAUAAUCUUCAUCCCUUCUAAAAAACGAGAGAGAAAAAAAAAAGAAUGAUUUUUCUGUUUGUAUCUAAGUGAGAAUGAGAUAUAGAAUUUCACUCCAGACGCAUUAAUUUUAUCUCAUACUGCCAUGCUAGACCAAAUCAGCCCUUAACGACAACCACACUGUUUUGUGGGGGGGGGGUUACUUUUGUUCCAUUAUAUUCACAGAAUCUUCAAAUCCAUUCUUUGGAUUAAUCUGCAUGAGGAAAUCUGUUACUGUUAGUGACGGAAACCUGUUAUUGUUAGUACCGGAGUCAACUGUUUGACUGGGUGGGUUCCAAUCAGAUCCUAAGGAAUGGGUCCAAAGGUCAUCCAUUAGAGUUAAUGGAAUUCAUUGUUGUUCUUGUGCCUUGAUGUGUGAGCCCAACACGCACAGAUGCAACUAGGGAUGGCAACGGGGCGGGUUUUUUCGGGUACCCGCCCUGCCCCGCCCCUAAUGGGAUGGGGUUGAAAUUUAAUAAAUGGGUUUUUAACGGGUAUAAGAUUUUUUUUUUUAAACCCGGGGCGGGUUCGGGUAUUGCCCCAUCCCGCCCCGCCCCGCCCCGCCCCGCCCCGCCCCGCCCCGUUUACAUAUAAAAUCAAUUUUAAAAUUUAAUUUAAUUUAAUUUAAAUUUUAAAAUUAAUUUUAUUUUACUAUUUUUAAUAUAUAGAUAAUAAAAAAAAAUUAAUAAAAUAAAUUAUAAAAAAUAUAAUAAUUUUAUUAUUUAUAAAUAUAUUUAUUUUAAUGUAAUUAAAAAUUUUAAAAGCAAUUUUUUUUUUUUUUAAAAAGGAGGCUAAACAGGGCUGGGCGGGGCGGGUUUGGGAAUUUCCCAUACCUGCCCCGCCCCGCCCCGCCCUGCCCCGUUUAAUUUUUUAAACGGGACGGGGAUGGGAAUUAUUUUUAAUAAACGGGGCGGGGUUGGGAUGGGGGCGACCCGUCCCGAACCUGCCCCGUUGCCAUUCCUAGAUGCAACAGUAUGAGUCAUGUGCAGGUAGAUUUGAAUAGACACAUCUUGGCAUCGGGAUGGCUUGAGCAAGGUGUAGUCUCCUACAAUAGGAAGCAUGGUGAACUGAUGCAUCACAUGAGCAAGACUCCUAUUGCAUGAGACAUACUCCUAUCACAUGAGACUUCUAGUCAAAGUGGGAGAUUGAGACCUAAUAUUGCAGGAAGAGAAAGGGACUCUUGACAUGAGAAGACUCCUAAUCGGGAUAGAAAACUAAAUCUUCAUGCAUAAGGAGAUAGAGAGAUGUGGCAUGAGAGUUUUAGAUUCAGUAGGACUUGGAGUCCUACUCAAAUUUGUCAUCUGUUAAGCUUGAGUCGGACGCAAACUAGGACUCAAAAGUUAGUCUCCUAGUAGGAUUAGGAUGGCUUGGUGCAACCUUCAUAAAAGGAGGGCGUGACCCAAUAGGAUGCUCCAAAAAUGGUACCUUACGUGAUAGGAAGGCCCCUUCAAAAGUCAUAUUGCUUGUACCACCAAGACACCACCACUAAGUAUUUGUCCAUAUCUUAAUCCAUGUGUGCAUGGAGAUGAACAUAAAUAUAUAUAGAAAAGAUAAAUAUUAGAAGACAAGUCUCCACAAAGAGACAAAAAUAUAGAAGGCUUCGGUCAACCAAUCCCGCUAUGCGUGGCAAAUGUUUCAGGGGACUGCGUAGGAUUGAACAGCCUUUGCUAGAGGGAAGAUCAAUCUAUGGGCGUGAAUAAAGAGAGAACUGGAGAAGUAUUGGAACAGGCGGGUCACCUCAGUUGACCAGGAAACAUGGCAUUAGUCAACGCAAACCUUGGCUUUCGAUCUCUACAUCGGUGCUGAAUAUUGUUGAACGGAAACACGUGGCCAGCUACAUUGGUUCUAGACAACAAAGGCUGCAACAAUUAACCUGAAAUUGAAAAUUUUGAAAUUUUUUUGAAAACAUAACAUCUUAAGAUGACUGGUAACCUUCUCUUAUUGGUUGGCUCUAAAUCAAAACCACUAUACAUGCAUUGUUCAAUGUAUAUAUGAUGUAGCAUUUUUGUGUUUUGUCUUUUACAAGUUGUAUAUAUUGGAAAAUUCUGACACCAUACAAAAACAUAGAAAAGCCACAAAUACCGCAACUUGCAUAUUUUCAUUUUAUGGCUGAAACUUUUCAAUGAAUCAUUAUCUUUAUUUCAAACUUUAAAAUUUUGAAAACAUAACAUCUUAAGAUGACUCGUAACCUUCUCUUAUUGGUUGGCUCUAAAUCAAAACCACUAUACAUGCAUUGUUCAAUGUAUAUAUGAUGUAGUAUUUUUGUGUUUUGUCUUUUACAAGUUUUAUAAAUUGGAAAAUUCUGACACCAUACAAAAACAUAGAAAAGCCACAAAUACCGCAACUUGCAUAUUUUUAUUUUAUUUUAAUUAUUUAUAGUUGAUUAGGUUUAUGGUAUGCCAUGUUGGAUGCUUUCAGAUUUUACAGAUCUAAGUUACUUUUAUUUUGAGAACGAAUAUUCCAUAAUUCAACCUUUUCCUUUUCUUGUUGGUAAUCAUGAUACAUAAAAUCUAGGAAUGCUAAACACAUCUUUUUUAAAAGUACUAUAUUGUAUUACAAUAGGAAAUGGCUUUUAUCAAAAGAGAAAUAUCCUUAAAUUGAUUAGGCCUAGCUCAUACUUUCAUCAACCAUAUGAUGACAUGAAAAAAAUCAAAGAAGAAAUAUGGGAAAUGGUACGAAAAGAGAUGGGUAGUAAUAACAUGAGACAACAACUUGUUUUACAACUAGUUGUAGCAGAAAAACCAAUGUUUAAAAUGAUAGAAGAGCCCCAACCACCAGAACCACCACUGAAACACAAGGUAUGCAUUUACUUACUAAUAAUACAAGAUUAAUAUAAGUGACAUAAAGCCUAUGUAAAUGAUAUUAUUUGUUGUAUUGAAGGUAAUUAAAUGUAAAUUAGCAGUGGAAAGAAAAGAAAAUGUUGUUCCAACUGGUACACUAAUAGAAGAAAAAGGAUCGAAUAGGUUGGUUGUAAUAAAUGCUGCACACAAGCCAGAUGCUAGACUCCCAUUUCCAAAUCCAUAUGAGAUUAUCAAUGUUGGGGAUGCUAUUGGCUUUGAGCUUGACUGGCCAACAAGCCUUGUCAUACUUGAAACUGAACAUCCUUAGGUAUGUCAUUUUAUGCCUAUAGUAAAUUUGAUUGUAACUUGGUAUUUUAUUGUUUAGGAGUAUAUAUAUCUAACAUUCCUUCCUUUUUCAUAGGUGUUGGAUAAAGGAAAGAAGAAGAUAGUGAAGACACCAAUUUUUUGAAAAUCUAAGCCUCAAAAUCAUUCGGUCAUUAAAAAUUUUCAAAAAUUUGUGGAUGGUUGUCUUGGUAAUGACAAGACAUACCCAAUACAGCUCCCCAUUUCACUUUUUGGUGUCGAAUUUCAAACAUAUAUAUCUAGAGAGGAUUGUGAAUACAUUAUUUCAUCUUUAGAGGUGUCAUCAAACUGCAUCUCCUUCUAUUUAUGGUGUGCACCUUUUAUUUUCAUUUGUUUUUAUUUUUUUAAAUAUGAGUUGCCCAUGUUGAACGAAAUUGGAUAUGACUAAUGAUAAUUUUCUUUUGGUGUUUUGAUACAAUAAUAGGCACAUGCAUGAUCAACUACAUAUUGCCAAAAAGGAAUCACAAUUUAUAUUUGUUAAUCCUUUUACAAUAUCACGAGCAAGCCUUAGUACUCAUCAAACAGAGAAAAGAGCACAAUUGUUGUCAAAACGCUUAAUGGAGUGCCAAGAUGCUAAAUAUGUUUUCAUACCUUACAACCCUGAGUAAGUGACAAAUAUUAUACUUUAAUUUGAGGUUUUAUGAUUGAUUUAUAUUUCUAAUUAGACGCUACUUUUGUUUUUAAUGUUUUAGCUUUCAUUGGGUCUUGGUGGUGAUUGAGCCAAGGAAAAUGAUAGUCCACUAUCUUGACCCUAUGCAUCACAAACUAUUUGAGGACUUAAAGAAUAUCGUAAACAUGUAAGUUCUUCCUAUUAUUUUUCAUAGUAUUAUUUUUUUUUUUUUAUAAAAAAUACAUUCAUCUCAAACACAUUGAACUUAUUUACAUAGGGCACUUCGAAUAUCUACAAAGAAAACAUCUAAAAGGGAGCCAUCUUGGCAACUAGUGCAGGUGACAUCCAAAAAAUUUUCUUUACACAUUAGCUUAUGCAUUUGCACCAUUUAUAUAUAUGAGUACUAAUGUUAUUUUAUAAUUGAUCGAUUAGUGUCCAAGACAAGAAGGAGGGUUCGAAUGUGGCUACUUUGUUAUGAGAUUCAUAAAAGAGAUAAUUUUUUAUCCUACAAUUAUUGCUUCAAAGGUAUUACAAAUUUAAUGAAUUGUACAUAGUUUUAGGCUUCCAAAUGUUAUGCAUUUUAAUGUUAUUUUCUUAUUUGAUUUCAGUUUGGUGAUAAAAAAACAUAUUCUCAAGUAGAAUUCGAUGAAAUUAGAGAAAAAUGGGCUACUUUUGUGCUACAACUAAUCAUGAAUCAUGUUGAUGCAUCAUGAUCACCAUGCAUGGUGAGUCCUUUAGCUACUACAUGAAUUUUUCCAUAGGUUCUUUGAAUAAUGUUUCUAUUUGAAAAAAAAAAAGAAAAAAAAAUAGUUCUUAGAUUUUUUUCAUUUAUGAUAACAUCGAUCCAUGUUUAUUUUCUUCAAUAAAAAUCUAUAAAACUCAUUAAACUAUGAAAUGCAAGUAUACACUUUUGGGAUGGUGGAAUGGAGAAUAAAAAGAAAGAAGAAGGCAACAAGAUUUUGGGUUUUUAAAUGCAACUCUUAUGUCAUACGUUGUAGGACAUAAAUGUUAAUUUAAUUAGUACUGAGAAAUUUAGAUUUUUAGAUGGGACUUUUAUGUCAUUUUAUAGUUAGCCGGUUUUAUGCUUAUGAAUUGGAGGUAUACAUGAAUCUUGGGAUCUUUAACAUUUCUAAAUCAUGUUUUGGUAUGUAUUCACUCUUCUUUUUUUAGUUUUGAUGGGUUUGAUAUGUUGGAUGUACUAUCUUUUUGUGAACAUUUGAUAUACAAAUAUUAUUAGAUGAUCAAUGUAUUAUGAGUUAUUCUAGAAACAUUACAGAAAAAUGAGUUAAAUAUAAUAUUAUUGUUAUAUUUAUGGACAAAAAAUAAAUAGGUUAAUCUUACUUAUUAAUUCAUAAGCAUUACAAAAAUUUAUAACUAAAAGCAAUCAUAUCUUCCACAAUAAUUUACAAUGAUGUGACACCAUUACUCAAAGGUGAUGCAUUUAAUAUGACAUUAUAAUUCAAAGAUGAUGCAUUUAAUGCGAUACCCUCUCAUCACUAGAAAUAUAUGGUGUCACUUCCGAAUGGGUCACCAUUUAUCUACUUUGGUGUCACUUCCAAAUACGUUACCAAUUGGUACCCUCUAUGGUAUCAGUGGAGAAGGUGACGCUAUGUUGUAGUGACACCCUAUGUUUAUGGUAACUCGUUAUAAAUGUCACCAUAUAUCUUUUUCCCUAUAGUGUAUAGCUCCAGUGAGGCUGUUCUCAGAGAAACAAAGGUAUGUCAAGUUUGUCAUUUGGCCUAGUACAGCAGGAAUGCUUCCAGUCAGAUUGUUAUCGUCCAAGUCUAUUGUCUCCAGGCUCCAAUAGCCUUGUAUGGAGGCUGGAAUAUUGCCUCCAAGCUUAUUACAACUCAUGUUUAUGAAUGUUAACUCAGAAAGCUCUCCAAUGGUAGCUGGGAUCCCUCCAUACAAGCUGUUGCCUUGCAAAGAGAGGGUGGUGAGAUGGGAUAGAUUGGAUAUGUAUGGUGAGAUAACUCCCUGUAAGCGCAUGUUUAUGAGCUUGAUUGACUCUAUUGAUAUUUUGUUGGUUGAGCAUGGAUUUAUGACUUAUAACGCACACGUGGAGGGUUGAAUUUCAUGAAAGAAAAUGAGGGUCAGAAAAAUAAUAAAUGGCAAGACAUUGAGCUUAUUGUGGGUAUGAUUGGGUACAAAUUCUUUUGUAUAUAUCUACUUGGGGUAUACAAUUGAAUAUUUAAUUUAGGAAGAUUCAAAAAAUUGUUUUCAAUGAAAUUCAAUAAUAAUAAUAAUAAUAAUAACAAUUGCCUGGAAAUUUAUUUAUUUAAUAAACAUUGUUUUGUCAUCAAAGUUAAUUUUUAAUAAAAUUAUCUAAAAAAAUGAAUUUUUAAAUAAAAUUCUAUUUCCUUAAUUAAAAUGGGCUAAAAAGUAAUUUUUGCAAAUUAAUGUCUUAAAUAACCUUUUCAUAAUAAUAGAAUGAGAAUCUUUUUAGCAAAUUGAACUUAUACAAAUCAUUUUCUUUUUGUAAAUAAAGUUUGUAAAAAAAUUAUUUUCUUUAUAAAUAAAAUCAAAUUGAAAUAUUUUUACAACUAAAAGAAUAUUUAGUUGAGCAAGUGAUGAACUAUUUUCUUGUUUAAGUAACCUUUUGUAAUGUUCCCCCAGCAUAAUGGUAGUACAAUAAGAGGGUUUAUUAUGUACUUCUUUCUAUAUGGACUUUGGGUAUAAUAAAAACAAUGCUUUCUCUUUCUCUCUCUCUCUCUCUCCCCCUCAGUCCACAGGUUUAGACCCUUAGCUUUACCCUGCACUAAGUCUUGAAAGCCAAAGAUUAUGCAGAAUCAAACUCUUAAAGUCUACAGCAUGAGUUGAGGAAAAAAGGAUGAGUAUUUAACGUAGUAGUUGAGGAAUGAUUCAAUGUUUGAAAUAUAAAAAAUGCAAUCCAUUGAACACUUAGCUGGCCUAUCUGCUUAUUAUUGUAUACAUAAAACAUAGACUAAUCCGAAGACUUCUAUGUGAUAACUUUAGAAUUUUCAUAUCCAAGGUUUUCACUUCUUUCUCAUCAGAAGACAAAGAUUGUAACUGUUGCAGAAAACCUAACAACCUAGUUUAUUUGUUAAGGUCCCUUUCUCUCAUAAAACAUAAAUAUAUUCACUAUCAAACACCAUAAUGAUAAUAAUAAUUAAUGAUCUUCUUUUUGCUGUAUAUACACUACUUUAGAGUUUGUUCAAUGUUUGGUUACCAAGAAAACACAAGGACUGAUCUGCUGCAUUAAAAGGUUAAUAUGUAGUUCUUCCAUUAGCUAGCCAUUUGGAACUAAGUCUUGUGGAGAACUUUUCAUAUUGGAGAUGGAUAUGAAAUUGGACCUGCCUCCACCUCAUUGAACUUCACUUUCAACAUAUGCAUUGAGAAUAUUUAAGUUAAGAUCAGUAUACUAACUAACCCUACAUAAAUUAACAUGUAUUGGUGAAAACACUUAUCCUUGUAAGUGAGAAAGCAAAAAAAGAAAAAAAAAAAAAGAAAAAAGAGAGAGACCUACCCAUUGAAGACUGUCUAUAAAUUGACAUGUUUCUCAUGCAAAAAUUUUCACCCCUCGCCUAAACGCAAAGAUUUGUAAUUGUUUGGAGACAGUACUCUAACAAUGGAGAAAGGUGUUAGUUUCCUAGUAACUGUGGCCCUCAUGGCAUUGGCUUCAUCUUUUGCCUCUGCCUCUGAUCCAAGCCCACUGCAGGACACUUGCGUUGCCAGACCCAAGAAUGCUGGUAUUUCUUUAGUAACCAACGAACUUGUCUCUAUUUUCACUAAUCUUUCCAAUUCAAUAUUGGGCACAUUAAUGCAGUAGCCAUUGCUGGUCUGAGCAGCCAAAAUCCAGGUGUAAUCACCAUAGCCAAUGCAGUGUUUGGAUCAAAUCCACCCAUCAAUCCCGAUUUCCUGGCAACGGCCUUCCAGUUGGACAAGAAGGUGGUUGAAUUCCUUCAAGCACGAUUCUAGUGGGGAAAUAGAGAAAAUGAAGAAGCUAUGAACCUUUGGUUUUCUUGCUUGAAUGACUAUUUGUGAUGUUCAAUUACCUCAUUACAAUAAGAGGGGUUUAUUACUUUAUUUUGUAGCUCUUUUGGUGUGGAUUUUGAUCCUGAUAUUAAAAUAAAGCAGUUUGUCUGUUAGGCAUCUUCUUCUGUCUCCAUCUCAAUAUUUGUCUUAAAAAAUCUCAUCUUGUGAAAAAACAACUGGAUAACAACUCUCAGUUGAUUGAUUAACCUGCAUGUGCAGAAUGUUUAUUAAGAAGGAAUACUUAGCUAGUUGUAAAACAGUACUACUGUUACUUCCAGCAUAAGUGUCAUGAAAAUUGUGAAGAAAGAAUGGAAAUGAAAACCCAGAAAUCUUAUGACAUCUACUGUAGACAAAUUAAUGUCUUAAAUAAUCUUUUCAUAAUAAUAGAAUGAGAAUCUUUUUAGCAAAUUGAACUUAUACAAAUCAUUUUCUUUUCGUAAAUAAAGUUUGUAAAGAAAUUAUUUUCUUUAUAAAUAAAAUCAAAUUAAAAUAUUUUUGUAAAUAAACUAAAAAUUAAUGUCCUAAGUAAAAAUCAUUUUUAUUGUCAAAUUGGAAUUUUUUGAAUAAAUUCUAUCCAAAUAGAAUUGAAUCAAAUCAUUUAUUGGAAAUAAAUAAAUAAAUUAAAAUCUUGAAAAAGUAAUAUUUAAAAUAUCUUUUUGUAAUCAAUUUAAUAAAUCGGUUUGUAUAAUUCUAAUGUCAUUUAUUUUGUACAUUUUUGUAAUUUAAUUUUAUCAUUAUUUUCUUGUAUAUUAAUUUGUCUCUUUAAUCUUGAUAUUCAUGAUUGAUCAAUUAACUGUCAUAAUUCAUUUCGUUUGUUUAGUAAAUAUUGUUAGUAUACAUGCUUAGAGGAGUAUUACGACUUAUUACUGUACCUUCCUGAUAGGCAACCUGACCCUUGAAUAUAGACUUGAUUUUACAAACAUGUCUUUUCUAAAUGAGGAGUUACACAAAAUUUUCUUUCUUAUUUUGUUCUCUUUUAAAAAAUAAAUUAAAAUAAGUGGCAACCCUAAUUUUUUUAUAAAAAAAAAAAAAAAAUCAAAUUUUCACAAUAAAAAUGAGUCUCACUGUCGAGUGGGAACACACGCAAAAAAUACGGGUCAACAUGUAUCCAAUUGAUUGGGGUCAAUGUCAAGAUGUGUGAUAAAGAUGCAAAUUUGAAUAUGAAUCCUGCCAUUGAUUGAAUCUUGAACUACCCGAUAGUGGUUGUAACAAGUGAGAUAAGUUGCUAAGGUUUGCGUUGAAAAGUUCAGCCAUGGAAAGUUACUAGUCAUCCAAAUAUGUAUAUAAAUCAAAGUGCACAUUCUAAAUCAAAGAAAUCAGCCUCCUUAAGCAAAAGACCUUACAAUUCUUAGAGUAUGUUUGGUAGUAAUUUUAGGAAGUGUUUUUAACUUUUUUAAUAAUUGAAAAAUAAGAAUUUUGAAGUAUUAAAAAAUGUUAGAAACACUUCCUAAAAUCACUAUCAAACGCACUUUUAAUGUAAUUUGCUCUAUCUACCACUUGAUGUGGAUGUUAAGAUUGAUAUCCUUGGUCAUUGCCUAUAAUCCUAUAUCUAUAAUUGCAAGAAGACAUACAUUGAAACAUGAAUACCCUUUCACUAUGUUUGGUUUAUGGAAAAUACUAAGAAAAGAAAAUGUUUUUCUUAUAUUUAGUUUUAUUAUGAAAAAUAAGAAAAAAUAAAAUAUAAUUAUAAUUAAUUAAAAUUUUAUGUAUUUUAAAAUUAUUUAAUAUUUAUAUAAUGAAGGAAAAUAAAUGAAACGAGCUUGAAAAAGUAUAUAAAAAUAAUUUAUUAAUUAUAACUUGUAUGCGACUAUUUUGUACUUUAAUCCCGUUUUUCUUUUAUCCUCUUGUAGGUACCUUGAUUUUAUAUAUUUGUAUCUUUAUUCAAUGAUUUAGAUUUCAUAUAUUUGUAUCUUUAAUUGAGAUUGCAAGAUCUGUACGGAUUCAGAUUAGGGAUGGCAACGCUAUAAGCUUAAGAUAAGUUACUCAUAUCCCAAUCCAUUAUAUUUAUUCGUAUAUGUUAUCAUCCCCACCAAAAAAAGAAAUUAAAUGGGAUGGGACGGGUAUAGGAAAUUCUCAUGCCUACCCCAUGCUAUCCCGUUUUUUAUUUAUUUAUUUUUCAAUUUUUAUUUCUAAAAUUUUAAGAAAAUUAAUAUUUUAAAUAUGUUAAAAAAAUUGAAAACUGAAAAAAGAAAUCAAUUAAAAGAACUUUUUAUUUAACAUUAUACAUAAUUAGGCUGAGGUAGGAUGAAACAAACUCAUACCCAAAAUCACCCCGAAUCAAUCUCGGGUUUUAAAAAAUUUCUCAAAUUCAAGAUGAGACAAAAUCAUAUCCAAAACUAUCUCGAAUCCAUCCUAGAUUUUAAAAAUUUUCUCAAAUUUAUCUAAACUCGUUUAUCAUUAUCUCAAAACGAGCCCAUUAAGGGUAGGACGAGUACUAAAUAAAAUUGGUAUAUUAUCAUCCCUAAUCAAGAUCCUAAAAUUUUUCUUUAUGAUAAUGAAAACAACAAUCAUAGUCGUCAUCUCUCUAUCAGUUUACUUGUUAGGUUUGAUCAAAUACACCUUAUGUGUUGCCUUUGGGCAACCUAGCUCUCUCAAUCAUUGUCUAAAGUUCGGGUGUUUGUUUAUUUUUUUAAUUCAUUUUGUCUUAAGUUUUUUAUUAUUAAAUAAAAUUUCUUUUUGUUACUUUAAACACCUCUAAUAAUUAUACUUUUUAUUUUUUAUAUUUAUAUUUAUCAAGUUUAUAACUGUAAAAUUUAUAAAAAUGUUAGUUUUUUGUUUUUAAAAAUAAUAAAAAGUGAUAUUUAAAGGGUCAAGUGGGCCAGCAUGAUGGCACGAUGGGUUGUUUCCUUAGGCCCACCACGACCCGCUCCUUUGGGCCAUGCCGGCCUGACUCGGUCUUUUGGCGCACUUGGCCACAGGCCAAAAUGGGUGGCUCGACCCAUUGGACACCUCUAGUAGUUACAUGUCUAGCAUCCAAACGUUAGACCAGAUGAGUUUUGUCAAACCCAACCCAUUCAUCCCCUUUGCCUCAUGUUGGCCACCCGGUUCGGACCAGCCUUGACAUGAACGGCAAGGUCCAAUGGAUUAGGUUGAUUUAGGGUCUCGAUUAUUUUUGUUUAAAUAAAUUGCAAAGAAAAAAAAAACUUGGUUUGGAUAAAUAAAUUUCAAUUGUUUUUAAAAUAGGUUUUUAUUUUAUUUUUUGUAAAAUUUUUUAUAAAUUCAAUUUAUACAAUAUUAAUUAUAUGUAAUUGAAGUCUUAUUAAAGAUUUUUUAAAAAAUAGUUUUUAAAUUAAAGAUAAAUUAAAAAAAAUCAUAAAAUAUGAAAUUAAUAUUAUAAUAAAAUCAUAAAUUAUGGUUUUUAUUUAAAAUGAUACUAUUUUAAGAUAUGAUUUAUUUAUUUUUAUAAGAAUGAAUAAUACUAAUUUUAAAAUAAUAAAAGGGUGAUAUAUUUUAUUUGAAAUAAAUUUAAAAAUAAAUAAAUUUUAUUUUUUUAAUACGUAAAUAAGUCAUGUUUUUCAUUAUAUCUACACCCGAGAAUUUAAACUUGACCCAAACUUCAACUAAAAAGACCUAUAUCCAACACAGUUAUUAGAGGUGUCCAAUGGGUCGUGUCGGGCCAACACAAUCCGAUGUUUAUCAGGCCAAUGCGUUGGCUCGACCCAUGCAAGCCAAAUAGGUGGCUUGACAUGGCCCAUAAGCCCAUGUGCUAAUCAUGUCGUGUUGUGCCAUGCCGGUGAGUCGUGCCCCAUGGGCACACACUUUAUUAAAAAUUUUAAUUAAUUUUUUUUAAUUCAUUUUGACUUAAGUUUUUUUAUUAUUAAAUAAAAUUUCUUUUUGUUACUUUAAACACCUCUAAUAAUUAUACUUUUUUAUUUUUUAUACACUUCUAAUAAUUAUACUUUUUUUUUAUAUUUAUAUUUAUCAAGUUUAUAACUGUAAAAUUUAUAAAAAUGUUAGUUUUUUGUUUUUAAAAAUAAUAAAAAGUGAUAUUUAAAGGGUUAAGUGGGCCAGCAUGAUGGCACGAUGGGUUGUUUCCUUAGGCCCACCACGACCCGCUCCUUUGGGCCAUGCCAGCUUGACUCGGUCUUUUGGCGCACUAGGCCACAGGCUAAAAUGGGUGGCUCGACCCAUUGGACACCUCUAGUAGUUACAUGUCUAGCAUCCAAACGUUAGACCGGGUGAGUUUUGUCAAACCCAACCCAUUCAUCCCCUUUGCUUCAUGUUGGCCACUCGGUUCAGACAUUGGGUUGAUUUGGGGUCUCGGUUCUUUUUGUUUAAAUAAAUUGCAAAGAAAAAAAAAACUUGGUUUGGAUAAAUAAACUUCAGUUGUGUUUAAAAUAAGUUUUUAUUUGAUUUUUUGUAAAAAAAAUUAUAAAUUCAAUUUAUACAAUAUUAAUUAUAUUUAAUUGAAGUCUUAUUAAAGAUUUUUUUAAAAAUAGUUUUUAAAUUAAAGAUAAAUUAAAAAAAUUCGUAAAAUAUGAAAUUAAUAUUAUAAUAAAAUCAUAAAUUAUGAUUUUUAUUUAAAAUGAUACUAUUUUAAGAUAUGAUUGAUUUAUUUAUUUAUUUAUUUUGAUAAGAAUGAAUAAUACUAAUUUUAAAAUAAUAACAGGGUGAUAUUUUAUUUGAAAUAAAUUUAAAAAUAAAUAAAAUUUAUUUUUUUUAAUACGUAAAUAAGUGAAGUUUUUCAUUAUAUCUACACCUGAGAAUUUAAUCAAGGAUAUAGUAUUUUGAACUAGUUUUGAGUCAUUCCUAUAAGCUUCAUUCAGUCAUUAUGGUUUAGACAAUUGAUAAUUAAUCUGUUGGCAUAAUUGAUUCUGCAAAACAGUAUCCUGAAUUUAGUAUCGAGGGAGGCAGAAACACAGCGAGAGAGAGAGAGAGAGAGAGAUGAUGCUUAACAAACAGACUGCAGACUGCUUUAUUGUAGUAAUAUGCCCAAAGUCCACACUAGAAGAGUUACAACCAGACCCUCUUAUUAUACCAUGUUUGUUACAAUGAGGGAAUUGAACAUCAUGAAUCGUCAUUCAAGCAAGGAAAUCAAAGGUUGACAGCUUAUUCUUUUUCUAUAUUUCCCCACUAGAAUCGUGCUUGAAGGUAUUCAACCACCCUCUUGUCCAACUGGAAGGCCCUUGCCAGGAAAUCAGGAUUGAUGGGUGGAUUUGAUCCAAACAUUGAACUGGCUAUGGUGAUUACACCUGGAUUUUGGCUGUUAAAAACGGCAAUGGCUACUGCAUUAGUGUGCCCAAUGUUGACUUGGAAGUGAAUGAGACUGAAAGGGAACACAAAAACAUCCCCCUUGUUCAGGACUUUGCUAAUGAAGCGGUGUUCAGGGUUGGAUGUGAUAAAGCCAACAAAGAGUUUUCCCUCCAAGACAAUGAAGAUCUCACUGGCACGAGGGUGAAAGUGAGGAGGGUUUUGACCAUUAGGUUCAUAAUCGAUACGAGACAGUGACACCCCAAGAGUGUUUUCUCCUGGUAAUUGAUCAACAUUUAUAAGAUUGACAAUUGAGCCCACAUAAUUUGAUGUGUUUCCUGGAAUAUUCAGCCCUUGAUACAAGAAAUCCUCGGCCACGGUCAGGUUUGGGUUCUUGCAGAACUUCCCAUUUACAAAUACUGCAUGAAGAAGGAAAAAAGAAAAGAUGUAUCCUUAGUAUCAAACCAUACUCACCAUAUCAAUAAAAAGAGUAGUACUGAAAAUAGCUAUAACAUCAUUGGUUACAAUAGAAAUACCAGCAUUCUUGGGCUCAUCAACUGCAACACAGGUGUCUUCCAGUGGGCUUGGAUCAUAGGCAGAGGCAAGAAACGAAGCCAAUGCCAUGAGGGCCACAGUUACCAUGAAACUAACGCCUUUCUUUAUUGUUAGAGUACUGUCUCCAACAAUCCCAAUCUUUAUCUUUCGGCGGGGAUAAUAAAUUUAGCCUGGAAAAGAUGUUAAUUUAUAGACCAGAGUCGGUGAGUUAGUCUUUGCAUAAACUCACCAAGUCUUCAAUGGGAAGUUUUUUCUUCUUUCUUUUUUCACUUUCGAGGACAAGCGGUUGCACCAAUACGUGUUGAUUUACGUAGGAUUAGUCAGUGUAUAGAUCUUAACCAGAAUAUAAAGCAAUGUACAAUCAGGUGGAGGCAGGUCCAAUUUAAUAUCAAUCUGCAUGAUCCAUACGUUUACAUUUAUAGUAGAGCUUUCUGCUCUUUUAGUAGUGUAUAGACAAGCAAAUAGAAGAUUACAGAGUAGGUGCCAGCUUGGAGUAUACAAUGACCCGCCCAUAUCAAACAUGGUUACUCCAUGAGGCUUGUGUAGGUUCAGUUUAAUGAGUAUCUAUAUAGCUUAAUUCACCAUUCAAAGUGUUGAGAGAUUGGCUGAUGAGAUUAAAUAUGUAGCCAAGUUCUGAGUUUCUAGCUCAUGUGCCUUCCACUGAGUGAAAAGUCCUUGGAUAAGCUCUGGCUUUCUGCUAUACGCUCAUUAGGCUUUCCUCAGUUACAAAAGCUUUGACUAUGAUUUUUACGCUUGUAGCCUUCGCUGUCUGAGCGGUUUCUAAGACUUUUUAAUUAGUUGCUUCUAAGUUGUCUUUAACAAGCAAGUCCGUAUUUUCUGGCGAGAAGCAAGAAAAUACCAAUUGAUUAGAUGAAGUCCUUCGACUAAUCUAUGCCCUAUACGUAAGGUAAUUAAGCAGUUACACUUUCCAAAUCUUCAAUGGAUGUCAUUUUUCGAAUUGAAAGGUUGAACUUCCUCAAGUUAUGCUCUAGACUCUAGAAUGAAUUCUACAUAAUCUUCGGUUUUAGGCCUUAUUCCUAGUUUAAAGCUAAGAAGUAAACCAGUGGACAGACCAUCUGUAAUCAGAUUGUGAUUAGUGUCAUGACCCAUUAGAUCUUUAUAAGAAGUUGGCCAUGGUUCAAAGUCACGGUAUCCGUCACCAAAUCGGUAAGUCCCGAGGUACAUCAGUUUCAACGUCACGGAUCGAUAUCGGAUGAUACGCAAAAAUUUAUAGUUUAAAAGCUCAAAACAAUUUAAAAAGAUUACAAAAAUAAAUACAAAUAAAUAAAGUUAAAAAUUAAGAAAUAAAAUUUUAUUAUGUAUAAAAUUAUUCAAAUUAUGAUAAAACAUACCUUUGUAAUGAUUUAUAAAAAUAUUAAAACUAUAAAAAAAAUAAUUUAAUCACUUAAUAUUAAAUAUGCAUCAUUAAAGAUGAAAAUAAUAAAAAGUGAAUUUAUAGUUUAUAAUUUUUUUAAAAUUAAAUAUUUUGAAUUUUUUAAAAAUAUUUUCAAUAUUUAAAAAAAUACAUCUAGGAAUCAUCUUUGAAAAAAAUAAACAUCAUUUUUCUUAUCAAAUGUAUUCUAAAUAAAACAAUUAUAAAAAUAAAGAAUUUUUAUUUGAAUGAGCAUAUUUGAAUAUAAUAUAUUUUUUCUAUACAUCUAUUCAUUUGAAUUGAAUUUUUAUAUUAAUAUUCAUUUCCUUUUUUAUUCAUGUAAACCUAAAUAUUCAUUAUUAAUGUACCAUAAUCCUAAUUCCCAUCAAAUUUGCAUUAUCCAUUUAAAUACAAUUAUUCACAACAUAUUCAUUAACUACUUAAAAAACAAAUACCCACCCAAAUUUGUAAUCCUAUCAAAUACCCAUAACCCAUUGGCAAACACGUAUUUCCUUUUUUUGGCACAAUACCCAUUUUCUCUCUAAAACAACACUUUGAGCUCUCUAUUUCUUUGCACAAUACCUAUAUUUGAAGGCUAAAAAAAUAGGCCUACAAAGAUACAAAAGGAUGGAGCUAGAAAUACAAGGAUGAAGAUGCACAAGGUUUGAAGACUCUAUACUCUCCACACUUCUUCACUUUCAUAUGUUUCCAUCAUCUUCUUUCAUCCACUAUUUUCGCUCCUAUAUUACCAUUUUUUCCCAUCACCCAUCACCCGAAGAGCUUAGUUUGAAUAUAAUCUUGGGGUUAUCUCAAAGUUUCUUUGUGAUUCAACAAGUUUUUUCAUGAGUCAACCAAAUAUUAGACUCAGGUAUCGGUUCAGUACUAGUCAUGGACAAGAUUUUAACCCUGUUUGAGCUCUCUAUUUCUUUGUACAAUACCAAUUUUUAAAGGCUCACAAAAUAACCCUAUGAAAAUACAAGAGGAUAGAGAUGCAAAUACAGGGAUGAAGAUGCAAAAGGUUUGAAGACUUUGAACUCUCCAUAUUCUUCGGUUUCAUGGGUUUCAAUCUUCUUCUCUCAUCAACUAUUUCUGCUCCAAUAUUACCAUUUUUUUCCAUCACCCAUGACCUGAAGAGCUUAGCUUGGACAUAAUCUUAGGGAUAUCUCAAAGUUUCUUUGUGAUUUAACAAGUUUAUUCAUGAUUCAACCAAAUAUUGGACUCGGAUAUCGGUCCGAUACCGAUCAUGGCUGAGGCAUAUAUGAAUCGGUUGAGUCGUACCGGUCUCGACCGAGAUUUUGAACCUUGUUUGAGCUUUCUAUUUCUUUGCACAAUACUAAUUUUUGAAGCCUUAUAAAAUAGCCCUACGAAGAUAUAAGAGGAUGAAGAUGCAAAUACAAGGAUGAAUAUGCAAAGGGUUUGAAGACUUUGAACUCUCCAUACUUCUUCACUACCAUAGGUUUCAAUCUUCUUCUCUCAUCCACCAUUUCCAUUCCAAUAUUACCAUUUUUUUUUCCAUCACCCAUCACUCAAAGAGCUUAGUUUGGACAUAAUCUUGGGGUUAUCUCAAAGUUUCUUUAUGAUUCAACAAGUUUAGUCAUGAGUCAACUAAAUAUUGGACUUGGGUAUCAGUCUGAUACUAGUCAUGACCAAGAUUUUGAACCCUUUUUGAGCUCUCUAUUUCUCUACAUAAUACCCAUUUUUGAAUGCUCACAAAAUAACCCUACAAAGAUACAAGAUGAUAGAGAUGCAAAUACAAGGAUGAAGAUGCAAAGGGUUUGAAGACUCUAAACUCUCCAUACUUCUUCACUUUCAUAGGUUUCGAUCUUCUUCUCUCAUCCGCCAUUUCAACUCCAAUAUUACCAUUUUUUUCCAUGACCUAUCACUCGAAGAGCUUAUUUUGGACAUAAUCUUGGGGUUAUCUCAAAGUUUCUUUUUUAUUCAACAAGUUUAUUCAUGAGUCAACCAAAUAUUGGACUUGAGUAUUAGUUCGGUACUGGUCAUGGCCGAGGUGGAUAUGACUUGGCCAAGUCAUACUGGUCUCAAUCGAGAUUUUGAACCCUAUUUGAACUCUCUAUUUCUUUGCACAGUACCCAUUUUUUAAGGCUAACAAAUUAGCCCUACGAAGAUAUAAGAGGAUUGAGAUGCAAAUAAAGAAAUGAAGAUGCAAAGGGUUUGAAGACUCUAAACUCUUCAUACUUUUUCACUUUCAUGGGUUUCAAUCGUCUUAUCUCAUCCACCAUUUUCGCUCCAAUAUUACAAUUUUUUUCCAUCACCCAUCACCCAAAAAGCUUAGUUUGAACAUAAUCUUGGAGUUAUCUCAAAGUUUAUUUUUUAUUCAACAAGUUUAUUCAUGAGUAAACCAAAUAUUGGACUCAAGUAUCAAUUCAAUAUCAAUCAUGGUUGAGGCGGAUAUGACUCGAACAAGUUGUACUUGUCUCAACCGAGAUUAUGAACCCUAUUUGAGCUCUCUAUUUAUCUCUACAAUACCCAUUUUUGAAGGCUUACAAAAUAGUCCUACGAAGAUACAAGAUGAUGGAGAUGCAAAUACAAGGAUGAAAAUCCAAAGAGUUUGAAGACUCUGAACUCUCCAUAUUUUUUCACUUUCAUGAGUUUUGAUUUUCUUCUCUUAUCUGCCAUUUCCGCUCCAAUAUUACCAUUUUUUCCAUUACCCAUCACUUGAAGAGCUUAGUUUGGACAUAAUAUUAAGGUUAUCUCAAAUUUUCUUUGUGAUUCAACAAGUUUAUUCAUAAGUCAGCCAAAUAUUGGACUUGGGUAUCUGUUCGAUACUAGUCAUAUAUGGUAGAGGCGGAUAUGACUCAACCAAGUUGUACUAGUCUCAACUAAGAUUUUGAACCCUAUUUGAGCUCUCUAUUUCUCUGUACAAUACCCAUUUUAAAGGCUCACAAAAUAGCCCUACCAAGAUACAAGAUAAUGAAGAUGCAAAUAUUACUCAUUGAAUAUCUAGCAAUAAUUGGUUUAUUUUUUAUUUUUGAAUUAUUUUUUAAAAUUAAAUAUCUAUUAAUGAAACAAAAAUACUAAUGAUUAAUACCAAAAAGUGCUAUUUUGUAGAUCUAAUUAUAAUGGUUUUAAGCACCUUUGAGUAGUAAUCAUAUUCAUUUAACCCAAUUAAUUCAUUAAGGUCCUUAGUAAUUGGUUUUAACCAUUUUGUGGCAAGUUUACAUGUUUUUAUCAGCUUAUGAAUCAAUUCAAGCAUGCCAAAUGAUGGAGGAGCUACUUAGACAAGUUAAAGCAAGGAUUUUGGAAGUUUACAGGCUUGAAUUUCAAGUGGAAACACGAGCACAAGCAAUGGAGAAGAGGAAAACAGAGUGAAGAAAACAGAGGACAGCAGCUGCAGUCUUCUUUUGCACUUUUGGAGCACUUCCCGAAGUCCAUUUUCUACAUUCUAUAUACCAUUUCAAAGCUCAGGAAGUCAAUAAUCCAAUGCUUCAAACGGUGCGUGAUUCGGAGUUGAAACGAAGGAGUUACAGCCAUUGCAAUCAGAUCACUCCAAGCUGCUGCGAAAUCAGCCUUUUGUUGCGAGAAUUUCGCAGCCUUUUUGUACAGUGCAAUGGAAUUCCUCCUGAAGCUACCCGAUAUAUGCUGCAAGCUGGAAUGCUGAGAACCUCAAGGUGGAAGCCAACUUCGCAGCCCUGCGAAGAUAGCUUGGUGUUGCGAAAUUAUUUCGCAACCCUCUUGAGUGUCUGCGAAAUCUCGCAGACCUCGUUUUCACCUGCGAAAUGUCCUUAGUGCUUCCUGAUAUUUGUGCACCGACUCUUUUGGAUAUUUUUCUUCAGAUAUUUUUGUAUAAAUUUCCAUUUUCUCCUUGUUUUCAGCCACUCAUGUAAUUCCUUAGCUAGGAAGUNNNNNNNNNNNNNNNNNNNNNNNNNNNNNNNNNNNNNNNNNNNNNNNNNNNNNNNNNNNNNNNNNNNNNNNNNNNNNNNNNNNNNNNNNNNNNNNNNNNNGAGAGAGAUUUAGUGUUUGAACCCAUUAAUGGGAAGCAUCUGUACAACACCGGUUGGAGAAGGAACUAUAGGUUAAUUCUCUAAGGCGAGGAAAAAAAACAAGUGACCGGAACUCCCUUUUUGUAUGAGGAACCUGAGCCUAGUGAUCUGAACUCCAAGAAACACUUUUCUUUGUAAGUAAAAUCAGUUACUAUUUUUGGUUAGCUUAAAACCAAACCUUUUUCAUUCAAACAUCUUUAUGUUUUCUUAAGCUAACCUUGAAAUGAAAAGGCACCAAUUCAGCUUUGAAUUAAUAUCAUUUGUGAAGUGAAAACCCAUCCCAGUGGACGAUCCUAGAGCCACUAUGCUAUAGUAGCUUUGUCUUUGCUACCCUAGUAUAUGGUGUAAUAGGUUAUAAAUUUUGUUGAUUACUCCCUCAAUCAAGGAGCACCAGCUGGACACGAAUCAGCUGAGACACCAAUUGGGCACGAAUCAACUAACUCUUUCUUGAUUUUCUUCUCUCAUCCACCAUAUCCGCUCCAAUAUUGCCAUUUUUUCCAUCACCCAUCACCCUAAGAGCUUAGUUUGGAUAUAAUCUUAGGGUUAUCUCAAAGUUUCUUUUUUAUUCAACAAGUUUAUUCAUGAGUUAACCAAAUAUUGGACUCGGGUAUUAGUUCGGUACCGGUCAUGGCCAAGGUGAAUAUGACUUGGCCGAGUCAUACCAGUCUCAAUUGAGAUUUUGAACCUUGUUUGAACUCUCUAUUUCUUUGCACAAUACCCAUUUUUUAAGGCUAACAAAAUACCCUAACAAAGAUACAAGAGGAUUGAGAUGCAAAUAUAGGAAUGAAGAUGAAAAGGGUUUGAAGAGUCUAAACUCUUCAUACUUUUCCACUUUCAUGGGUUUCAAUCUUCUUCUCUCAUCCACCAUUUUUGCUCUGGUAUUACUAUUUUUUUUCCAUCACCCAUCAUCCAAAAAGCUUAGUUUGGACAUAAUCUUGGAGUUAUCUCAAAGUUUCUUUUUUUAUUCAACAAAUUUAUUCAUGAGUCAACCAAAUAUUGGACUAGAGUAUCGAUCCGAUACUGAUAAUGGCUGAGGCGGAUAUGACACGAUCAAGUCGUACGAGUCUUAACCGAGAUUAUGAACCCUGUUUGAGUUCUCUAUUUCUAUACACAAUACCCAUAUUUGAAGGCUCACAAAAUAGUCCUACGAAGAUACAAGAUGAUGGAGAUGCAAACACAUGGAUGAAAAUCCAAAGCGUUUGAAGGCUCUGAACUCUCCAUAUUUCUUCGCUUUCAUGGGUUUCGAUCUUUUUCUCUCAUCCACCAUUUUCGCUCCAAUAUUACCAUUUUUUCCAUUACCCAUCACGCAAAGAGCUUAGUUUGGACAUAAUAUUAUGGUUAUCUCAAAUUUUCUUCAUGAUNNNNNNNNNNNNNNNNNNNNNNNNNNNNNNNNNNNNNNNNNNNNNNNNNNNNNNNNNNNNNNNNNNNNNNNNNNNNNNNNNNNNNNNNNNNNNNNNNNNNAAGAGCUUAGUUUGGACAUAAUAUUAUGGUUAUCUCAAAUUUUCUUCAUGAUUCAACAAAUUUAUUCACAAGUCAACCAAAUAUUGGACUUGGGUAUCAGUCCGAUACUAGUCAUGGUGGAGGCAGAUAUGACUCGGUUGAGUCGUACCAAUCUCGACUAAGAUUGUGAACCCUGUUUGAACUCUCUAUUUCUUUGUACAAUAUCCAUUUUGAAGGCUCACAAAAUAGCCCUACCAAGAUACAAGACGAUGGGGAUGCAAAUAUUACUCCUUGAAUUACUGGCAAUAAUUAGUUUAUUUUUUUAAUUUUGAACUAUUUUUUAAAAUUAAAUAUUUGUUAAUGAAACAAAAGCACUAACUCUUUCUUGAUUUGGAGUUUAUUUGUUGAAUGAAAAUUUUUGGAUAAUUAUGGUUUUGCGCAUAAGAGAAAUAAUGAACCAAUUGUUGUUCAUAAAUUCAUAAAAUUGGAUUAGCAUUUGAGUUUCAAAUUAUUUUUAAAAGUGCUUACAUUCAUUAAUGAAUCUAAUACACUAAGUUCCUCUUUGGGAUGAAUUUUGAAUGAGGCUAAAAGCUUUUCCUAACACUAGAAAGCAAUCUUAAAAAAAUGGUUGAAAAUCACUUUUAAAAAUCUAAAUAAUGACAUGAUUCUUCGAACUAUCACAUUUUUGUUAUAUUAUACAUUGCCAAAACAUUCUCUGAACAUAUUUUAAAAAAAAUUUAUAAUAUGCAUUUCCUACAAAGCAAUCUUAAAAAUAUAUAUAUAUAUAUAUCAUCAAUAAUUAGAUUAUGGUGUGAUAGUGAUUUUAGCAAUUGUUUUUAGCCUUUUUAAUACUUUAAAAAUAACAGCAGUGAAUUUAGGAAACGUUUCUAGCUUUUUUAACGCUUGAAUGAUAUAAAUUUUCAAGUAUUAGAAAAGUUAAAAAUGUUUCCUAAAAUCACUACUAAACAGGCUUUAAUCAGUAGUAGUAAUUAAUUGGUAUUGAAUAACUGUAAUGCAGUUUCCUGAAUGUAGUAUUGAGGGAGAGAGAAACAGAGAGGAAGAGAGAGAUGCUUAACAAACAAAUUGCUUUAUUGUAGUAAUAUGCCCAAAGUUCACACCAGAAGAGUUACAACUAGACCCUCUUAUCAUACUAGGAUUGUUAUAACGAGGGAAUUGAACAUCAUAAAUAGUCAUUCAAGCAAGGAAAUGAAAGGUUGAUAGCUUCUUCUUUUUCUAUAUUCCCCCACUAGAAUCGUGCUUGAAGGUAUUCAACCACCUUCUUGUCCAACUGGAAGGCCCUUGCAAGGAAAUCAGGAUUGAUGGGUGGAUUUGAUCCAAACA
rnacentral:lncRNA from 1 species